rnacentral:lncRNA from 1 species
AUUUUUUUUUUUUUUUUUAGAGAGAUAGGUAGUUUGCUAUCCGUUUUGUUUAUUUCAUUUAAAAAGAAACUUAGUUUGAAAUAUGAAUCAACUAGGAUUCAAACAUGGGAUCUCGAGUACCAACUACUAAAUCUUUUGCCACCUGCACUAGGGACGAAUUUCUCAGGCUGUAGGCUAAAAGGCCUUCUCCUAUUCUACAUCUUCUGAUAUUUUAGUAAGUUAUCCUUCUCACAUGUGAUUUUACAGUCAAGUCCUUCUUACUAAGGAAUUUGCAACUAGACCUAUACUGUAUAGAAUUUCACAAUAGACCGAUUCUUAAAAUUUUAUAAUAAAAUCCUUUCGAGUUUCAACACUACAAAUAUUCCCCCAUUUGAAUUAAUACUUUUCCUCGGAAAAUUUAUAAAGGAAUUUUGCUACGAGGUUUUUCUCACUCUUGAAAUUGCGAGACCAAAUAUAGUGAAUUUUACCGUGACGUCCUACGUUCAGUUUGGCUUGAAUUGAUUUUUUUUUUUUUUUUUUUUUUUUCCUUUGAUCUAAGUUUGACACAAUUCAAAAUUGCUUAAUAUUAAUCAAAUUUUCAUUCAAAAGCCGAUUGAAACUAAAACUAAAAUCAAGGGCGAACCUUGACCUUAUUUUAUGCCAAUUUCUUUUUAAAAAAUAAGUAUUUAGUUAAAACUUAAAUUCAAAUUUUGCAUAUUCAAAAUGAGAAUAUCAUAAUUAUAGAGACACUUUCAUAUAUCUUUUUAAAAUAAAUGAUUCCAGGAUGGACAAGUCAAGCAGGUGAGGUUGUAUUUUGCCACCCCUGACCAUAUAUAUAUUGUUCAUGAAGCACAAGUUCACCCUCUGCCAUACGCUUUGCACUAGNUCUCUCUCUCUCUCUCUCUCUCUCUCUCUAUAUAUAUAUAUAUAUAUAUAUAUAUAUAUAUAUAUUCCUCUAGAUAGAGAGAGAUUUGGUGAGGGAUAAAAGUCGACAACACCGAUGCCAUCGCGGGCCUUAUCGACGAUGUGUAUGAUAUAAUGGAGAGCGGUCGAAUGGCUCCAUCGAUUAUGCCCAUGGCAUUAGGAGAACAAACGCUACACGUUUUAAACUUUGGGAAAGAAUAAGCUAAAUUGGAAGGAUGCCUAAUUAAAAGCAUGGCAUUCUCGUUUUCUCCACUAUUACUCUAUUAAAUGAAAAAGUAAGUAGAUUACUCUAUUAAAUGAAAAGAUAAAUGCUAUUACUUUAUUAAAUGGGAAGGUGAGGAGAUUUUUUGAUUAAAUAGAAAGGUAAAUGAAGAUGAAAGGAUUAGUCUAUUAAAUAAGAAGGUAAAUGAGAAGGUGAAGAGACAAUACUAGGAGAUAAAUCGAAUACAUGAAAGGAAGUAUUUGGUAGAGGUGGGCCUAAUAUUCAAUAGAAAGAAUAGAGGAGGUGAUAAUAACACUGGUAGCUAGGUGGGUCCAAAUUCAUCAGAAUUCUGCCACGUUGGAUAGAAGCCACGGGAAUUAAUAGUUUUGUAUAGAUGUACAAGUUUUCUUCUUUAAACUAAGAUUAUUAUUUUUCUUGGUGGGAUUUACAUAGAAAUUUUCCCAUAUGGUGCUCCUACAAAAGGUGGAGCUUUUUCUAAGUUGUAUCAAAACUCUAUUUUAGUCCAAAUCUUUUAAAAUAAAAUUAAUAAUUUUUGAAUUUUGAAUAAUGUACAAAAGUAGCCUGUUCUAUUAUUUAAUGUUAAGUACAUAAAAUAGGAAGGUGGUACAUAAAAUUUGUUAUUAGAAGGUUUUUUUUUUUUUUUAGAGCGAUAGGUAGUAUGCUAGCCAAUUCGCUUAUUUCAUUUAAAAAGAAACUUAGUUUGAAAUAUGAAUCAACUAGGAUUCAAACAUAGAAUUUCGAGUACCAACUACUAAACCUUUUGCCACUUGUACUAGGGACGAAUUUCUCAGGCUGUAGGCUAAAAGGCCUUCUCCUAUUCUACAUCUUCUGAUAUUUUAGUAAUUUAUCCUUCUCACAUGUGAUUUUACAGUAAAGUCCUUCUUACUAAGGAAUUUGCAACUAGACCUAUACUGUAUAGAAUUUCACAAUAGACCGAUUCUUAAAAUUUUAUAAUAAAAUCCUUUCGAGUUUCAACACUACAAAUAUUCCCCCAUUUGAAUUAAUACUUUUCCUCGGAAAUUUUAUAAAGGAAUUUUGCUACGAGGUUUUUCUCUCUUGAAAUUGCGAACCAAAUAUAGUGAAUUUUACCGUGACGUCCUACGUUCAGUUUGGCUUGAAUUGAUUUUUUUUUUUUUUUUUCCUUUGAUCUAAGUUUGACACAAUUCAAAAUUACUUAAUAUUAAUCAAAUUUUCAUUCAAAAGCCGAUUGAAACUAAAACUAAAAUCGAGGGCGAACCUUGACCUUAUUUUAUGCCAAUUUUUUUUUUAAAAAUAAGUAUUUAGUUAAAACUUAAAUUCAAAUUUUGAAUAUUCAAAAUGAGAAUAUCAUAAUUAUAGACACACUUUCAUAUAUCUUUUUAAAAUAAAUGAUUCCAGGAUGGACAAGUCAAGCAGGUGAGGUUGCAUUUUGCCACCCCUAACCAUAUAUUGUUCAUGAAGCACAAGUUCACCCUCCGCCAUACGCUUUGCACUAGGGGUAAGCAUAAUCCGGUUCAAACCAAAUUACUGAACCAAAACGACCAAAAUCACUCGGUUCCGUUCGUGUUCGUGUCGGCUAAUUGGCUUCACAUAUAAUUCAGUUCAGUUUGCUUCUAAAAGUUAAAAAUCAAACACCGAACCGAACCAACCAAUGCACACCCCUACCAGGCAUGCGUAUGGAUGCGCAAUCACAUACACACUCAGUUCCGCCACUUUAUUUCAAGGGACAAUUUGAUUCAUACCCUAAAAAGUUUGAAAAUUUUACAAAUAUUCUUGCAAGUUCAAAUGUUCACGCGUGUUCAUUUGGAACUUUAAAUAGGUAUAUAUAUACUGUAGGUUCUUGGCACCGUCAUCUACUUCCAUAGGUAUAUAUACAGUAAGUUCUUGGCACUGCCAUGUACAUACACAGAAACAAACAGCCACAGAAACUAGCGAUGUUCCUCUCCAGUAAAAUAUCAGGAAUAAGAAACGAAAUUUUACGAAAAAAAUAUAUUACAUGAUACUCUAACAUGAAACAUGUGAAUUAGUUUACUGAACUAUUAAAAGAUUGUUUUUCGUCAUAUCCUCACCGACAGUAGGAAAUUCGGGAGACAGCUGCCACUCACCAUCAACCAAGAACUUAAUCUCGUACCUUCAUUUUCAGUAGCACGAAAAUAAAAGAGAAUAUAAAUAUAUCAAGUAUGAUUACUAACAAUCAUGAUCAAAAGAGAUACGAAGCAUCAGCAUACUUUCCAGGUCUGAGUUUCACGGUGGCAGAGAAUCUGGCAUAGUCGCCUGAAUAUUCCCGUGACAUUUCCUCUCCCUGACUCCAGCCAUCGAAGGAUCCCAUCACUUGCACGCUCUGAUGAUAACCGCAUAUGUAGUUUAUUUGUAAAAUAACUAAAAGAGAAAGAUAAAUAUGCUGAAAACUAUCUUCCCUUUCACCAAAUGAAGCCCCACGACUGUCUGGUGCUUUUAUCCAGGUUGAUAAAAUUUCGAGCUACCAGUUCAAAGUUCACAUUACAGAAGCGGACCUUUCAGAUGUAAGAUUUCAGUUAAUUAUUAGAAAUCCGGUUCCCGAUGUUUGACCAUGAUUUCAAGUUAGUUCUCAGUAGUCCAAAAUUUUUAAACAAUUUAGUCCUAGAAGUUUGUUUUGCAUAACAAAAAAUGUCUUUUCAGUUUAAACAAUUUAGUGUCAUGUCAGCAUCAUCAUUAGGUUUUCCUUUGAUUAAUUGAAACUCCAAACACUCUGAAAUAUUUUUUCCACAAAAAAUAAAAGAAAAAUCUCGAAAUGAAUUCAACAUUUUCAGGGUGAAGUCAAAACAAGGUCAAAUUUUAGGGACCAACUUGGAAUUGAUCUACGGGGGUUAAUAUUGCAGCUCUCUGAAGAUCAAAUUGAAAUAAGAGUCAAACUUCAGAGACAAAAUUGUUAAAACUCGAACUCUUUUAGUGAAGGUGACAUUAAGAUUAUAAUAUUAAAGCAACCAUAUAUGUUGACAGCAGUAUGUGAAAUUUAAUGUAGAAUAUUGAUUCUUAAAAAGUACUAGCUAAUCAAAGAAAAAGAGACAGCAAUUUGAUUAAGUUCAUUUUGGGAAUAGCUCAAGGAUAUUUGGUAGAGAUGACAAAAAAUCACACUAAGAAAACUGGCAACGGCAUACAGUUUAGCAACUCAUAAUGAAGACUUGUUCUUCUUAGAUCCGUCCCUACAACCCAGUAUCAUAAGUCGGAAACACUGAACAGGAUAUGAAUGCAUUUCCACACAAUAAAUAAUGCACAAAAUAAGAAUCAGCAGGUCAGCCUUUAAAAAAAAAAAAGAAUAAAAAAGAAAAUGUGCAAUUACUUGUACAAACGUAGGAGAGGUCAACACAAUGCAGUACAUUUGCUUAUUAGGUUGGCCAGUCAAGCAUGAGCUAGUUAUAGAUCUUUGGGCUUCGACAACUUAAGGAAUAGAGACUAUGCAAACAAGAACCGAAGAUUGGAAAUCUAUUGCUCUCAUUUCAUAUGUAUAUGAUUACAAUUAUUUAUAAGCUCAGUGUGUCUUACGAUGUUGCCAUACCCAGAUUUUUAGCUUACAUGACAAGUCGCUUUUAUUAUCACCAAGAAUGCUUUGAAUUCGAAGUAAUCAUUAAGGACUAGAAAAGAGUAGCAGCAUUGCCCACAAAUGAGAAAUCUAAAGAGAUUCCAUCAAUAUUUAUGGAACAUACCUAAAUUGCUAAUUUCAAACAUUGCAUUGGUAUAGAAAGAAAAACAAGGCAAAUGAAAAUUUACCUCAGCCAUGCCAACCCAGAAAACAGUAAUCUCUUGGAGACCUAGAGAGUCGGCAUCCUUUAUCUGUUCCUUUACUUUUUCGCGGACAGCUACAAUGUACGAAUAUAUUCUGAAUCAGUGAACUAUACAUCCAAUCAUAUUCAACGCAAUGAUUAUUUAUAUGUAAUCUUAUAAAUAGGGAGGGCUGCUGGGCAUCUGUGCCCCAGUCCAACGGUGCAUAAUGACUGAGGGCAAAGAAGAUUGUUGGGAAAGAAGUUCUACAAUAGCACUUGCAAUAUAUGGGCACCUCUGAGAGAACUAUCAAAUGAGUGAGGGACAUCUAGAUCACUUAAAAUAGACAUUUUGGAAAUAAUGAAUAGAACAAUAUAAAGAAAUAAACAAAAGGGGACAGCAAAAAUGGGACACUCCAAUAGUCUCACAUUGGAUAGAAAAUGGAUUGUGAAUGGAAAUAUAAGAGGCUGCACAUUCUAGUAAUAAUAAUUGGGAUUAAGUAUUUUGGGCUGGUAGUUAGGGUCCGACGAGUUAUUAUUGUUAUUAGAUCGGGUCGUUAUAUUUGCUAUCAAAGCUCAAUUAACUAGCAGGAAGCAUUGCAGAGCCUAAGAGAUAUACAGGAUCAAAGUGCAUACACAACAAAACCCCCAAAACGCGACUAUCUCUAGGAUCUCACAAUCGCCUGGAUUAAAUUUUGAAUUAUGUUGUAUGAUUUGGAUUUGAACCUAACAAGAACGUUAGGCCUAAAUAGGGGAGUCCAUAACACCCCGAUAUUCCUACAUCGGAUGAGAAAAGGGUUAUGAUUGAAAAUAUAAAGGACCAUGGACCUGAAUAUUAAUAAUUAAGCGUAUGCAUUUGGGGCCAAUAGUGUGGGCUCAACAAGUUAUUAUUGCAAGUGAGUCGAGUUGUUACAAAAAAAAUUUAAAGAAUUAGAAGAAACCAAAUUUAGUUGGUCAAUAGAAAAAACAAAAAGUAGAAGAAGAUUUUCUUUUAAGAAGAGUGACGGAUGUUUGACCACUUCAAUGAUUGAAGAAAAUCUUACUAAAACAGGCCUUUUCUUUUUCAAAAAAGGAAUAAGCAUGAAAAAGAUUGUAAGUUCUCUCAGCCUAGAAUUACAACAAAGCUUAUUGACUAUAUAUAUGCUAAAGGAAGAGACAAUAAAGGAUAAAGUGAUGCCUUGAAAUUAGAUAGCAGGAUUUAAAAUGUGGGGAAGAACAAGUAAAAUUAAUACUAUAAUAAAAGUGAUUAUAGAAGAAAGGAAAAGAUGUUAAUAAAAUGCGGACUAGGAAUAUUACUAGAAGAGACUCCUAUUGUAUCUAGAUUCUUACUGUAACUUGAAGUUAGAAAACUAGUAUCAAUUUUCAAGGAGAAUUGAUAGAAUAGCAAUGUCAACAACAAAAAAAAUUGAAAAAUGAAUAUUAUGAAAAUUUGAUACAUGUAAAAAUUGUGAAAGCAAUUAAAGUGAAUAAAAAAUAGGUCAAAAUGAAGAGUAAAUAUCAAUAUCUAUUAUCAAUUUAGCAUUUGGAUUAGCAAAAUCAAAAUGUCAUAUAUAAACUUGCAAAAGCUAAGAAACGAGCAACAGGACAUCUACAUUAUAUAAGGUCCAAUAGUAGAACCAAAGAGCUCUAGUAAGAAGGAAAUUUAUAAAGUAUAGAAGUUAUUAUGACAAAUAGAAAUAUUUUAUUCAUCUUUAGAUCAAACGAAAGAUAUUAUUCAUCCUUUGGAUCAAACUAGAAAGUCUAUUUGGAAAAAAGUUCUAGUCUUAAGAACCUCCGAAAACAUAUUGUUCCUUACACUUUGUAAGUCAAUUUUGAGAAUUCUAUUGAGUCUAUUCGAGUGUUUUGGCUACGUCCCAUUAUCUUGAGAACUAUGCUUUUUGAUAAUUUCUAUCAAGUCUAUUGAUUCUUUGGGUUAUUCGCCGUUAUCUUAUGUGCUCUACUUCUUUUGUCUGUCUAACCUCUAGGUUAAUAUACCUAAUCUUCUAAACCACCUAAAAUCCAUCGAUGCUAGCAUGCUUUUUGGUGGAUAAGUUUAGAAAGAAAGUAGCACAUAGUGAAUAUAGAUACAAUCUUGUGAAUGCAUCCAUGCUAUUACACAAUAAUAAGAUCACAUACCAAACAAGAAACUCAUAAACAGAUCAAGCAACUAUGUUGCCAACUUCAUAUUGAAUGAGUACUCAAGAGUAUAAAAGACUAGCAUUGCACAGUUAUAGAGGCAUGAAGUACAAACCUUCAAGUCUAGAGAAAAGAUGAGAUUGAAUAUAUUUUCCAGUAAUCUUUCUUGAACCACUUGGAACAUCAGAAGCUAUCUCUUCGGCUAGACCAACCAACGCCUGUCAACAGAAAGUAAGAAGCAAACAAUUUGUCAAAGAUAUCAAAUCUGCAAGCCAGUGGAUAUAGUAAAUUUUUUAUAAAUAUGUUUCUGAAAACUACCGGAGCCAAAUGCAACAGCCAUAGGACAUGACUUUCCCCCAUGAGCCAAUUGGAAAACCCUCAAGGGCACAAGCCCUUCAAACAAGCUCGUAAUACUGUUCACACAAAGUCAAAUAUGCAUAGUUUUUCUACCUUUCUUGGGCUUCCUAAGAUCACUCUGUAAAGGUGAUGGACCACUUGUCACCACUAUGAUCUAUUCUACCUAAAUAGCAAGUCAACAUUAACCGCUACCAUGAACUCUUCUUCCUAGCUCACCAAGGUCCACCUUGUAGGAGAGCUUUAGGUCUUCUAAUCCUCCAAAAAUCUCCUUCAAAUCCUUCUCCAACUCCUCCAAAUCCACCUUGGGAGAGUCCUCUAGAGAGAGAAAGAGAGAAAUGAGAGAGAGGAGAGUGUUCUUAGCUGGGAACAAGAGAAAAGAGGGGUUGGGUAUCUUUAUAGGCUGCUACAAUAGCAAAUAAGCCCUCCUUCUUUUCAUAUUUGCAGCAGACCAACCUGCUGUUUUCGCAGCACUGCGUACCGGUACACGGGAUUCUGUCACCAGUUUAACAGCCUUUUUUUACUCAAACCCAAGAGCAGCUGUUCUCGGUCUGCUGCCUGGUACCAGUACAAGGUCAAUGCAUUACCGGUAACAAAUGCUCCAGAUUGUCCAACUAUUUCUUUCGCACACUUUAGUCGAUUCGGCUAAAGUUCAAUAUUCUCUACCGAGUUUCAGUAUAUUACAAUGUAUGUAGCUCUACCACUAUCAAGUAUAUAGGUGUGUAAUAACCGAUAAGUAUGUCCAACUACUAUGUAUGCAUCAACUAGUUGUGAUGUAUAAUGUCUUGUUUAAUUAACUUCUACCCAAUCAUCGGGGACUUCACAUGGUAAUGUCCUGCCUUGUGCCAUGCCUAAUAGCCCCGUGGUAGUCAACAUUUUCCCUCUAGAAAUAAGCCUUGCCUAUGGCAUCCCACUUCGGCGCUCAAUUCUGCAUGGGCGAGUAUGUUAUCGCAAAGGCUUUCCGAAGUGUCGGCUUGUAGGGAGCGACUCAAUCAAAUAUGAAACUUUAUUUGCGAUAACUUCUGAUGAUGAGCUUUCUUGUUAUUUAUUAGUAGGUACAUACUUCCAACCUUGCCUCUCACGUGGUUGUUUAGGUUAUCGUUUGUGUAUUGUUUUGCACCUUUGUGUUCAAACAUAGCAGCCGGGGUAUAGCAGCUCCUGUUAUGAUCUUUAACACUACUGACACUUUUUAUAUAAAAUAUGACUGUAUGAACAUUGUUCUUACUCCUAAGCUUCCCAAAAUUCCUAGACAUUGACUGAUAACAUACAAAACUUUCCAAAUUAAAUUAAUAAAGCCUUUAGCCUUAAAAGAUUAAACACAUUAGCAGAACUCAGAUCUUGCAGAUUCUCAAUUUUAGUGCCUCAGAGCAAGCAACGAUCAAAUUUCAUGUUGUAACCAAAUUGUGAAACCUAAAGCAAAUCCAGAUCCAAAUUAACCUAACUGAAUUGUCUUUUCUUGUUUCUUUGUUCGGUUCUUGUUUGUUUUAUAAACUAAAUAUGAGGAAACAAAACCUUAGUUCGCUAAAUAUGAGGAAACAAAACCUUAGUUCUAAUCUAGGCAGACAUAUGUCGCUUUGCAGUGUUCAUGGGGAACAAAGCCCACUCCACCAGGUACAGUAUCAAACCUGCUGCCGCCCCCUGUUUCACCUUUCCAGUUCCUACCAGCCGGCUACACUGCGACAAAGCUUCUGGCUUAUCAGCGCCAGCUCGCCUUGAGCCAGGCAGCUGCUGCAGAAAUUAGAAUAACCGAACAAAACCUUUGUUCGGUUAUUGUUUGUUUUAUAAACUAAAUAUGAGGAAACAAAACCUUAGUUCGCUAAAUAUGAGGAAACAAAACCUUAGUUCUAAUCUAGGCAGACAUAUGUCGCUUUGCAGUGUUCAUGGGGAACAAAGCCCACUCCACCAGGUACAGUAUCAAACCCGCUGCCGCCCCCUGUUUCACCUUUCCAGCUCCUACCAGCCGGCUACACUGCGACAGAGCUUCUGGCUUAUCAGCACCAGCUCGCGUUGAGCCAGGCAGCUGCUGCAGAAAUUAUUGCCUGCAGCUGGUGAACCACGCCAGCAACACACCAUCCAACCUGUUGCUAUCCAUCACUGCUAUACUUAAAAGCCUCACUGUCCACGAGUUGCAGCCCUUUUUUCAUUUAAAAUAUUACUUUCCAUAAAAUACAAUUACUUAUUUUUUUAAAAAAAGAACAAUUACUUACCUGAAGUUCAAGUUCCAGUACGGCAAGUUCACUUUUGAGUUUGGCUAGUACAUUAUCUGUCACUUGCAACUGCAAUAUAUGAGGAUGUAAAAGUUGUUUGUUAGUUAUCAUGGAAACAAGAAUUUUACACUAAAAAUGAUAAGAAGACAUACAGAUUGUGUAAAUUUGGAUAUAGAUUGCCUUAUUCUCAAGGUUUCUCUACUAAAACAAGUUACAUGCAACCCCCCAAACCUAAAGUACCUAAGGAUGUAUACAAUUGAAUUUGUAUAUGCAUCUUCCAAAUGAAGUAGCUCCAAUAAAAUUUUGAGCUGCAAAAGCAGUUCCACACAGCAGCUCUUAUUUUUAUGCAGACAGAAGUAGCUCGAGGGAUAUAACUACAGUGCUGCAACCAGAAGUACAAAUCAAACAACACUACAUUGUAAUACACUACAAUUUACAGCAGGGACAACAUGCCCUAAAAUUACAAAGUGGUCAUUUGCAUGACGCACAAGGGACGUCCAGAAGACAGAUUUUUUCACUAUGCAGAUAUUUGAAAUGUUAGAAAAGCAAAAUUCUAUUACAGCGAGUGUUCCACAAAGCACUUUAUGCACCAGCGUAUGUGCCUGCAUUAUGCAGUCUCCUCGCCAUACUCACGCACAAUUAGGUUAUACAACUAGUGCAUAACAAUGUUUUAACUUUUAAAAACCAGAUCAAAAAGGUCGAACAGGUGUCACCUCUUCCAACAUGAUCUGACUUAACUCAUAAAAGCCAUAGAAUUAAAAAAAAAAAAAAUCACAUCAGACCAUUUGAACUAACUGGCAAUUCAACCGGCGAACGCAUUAACUAUUCCGAUUUUGAUUGGAUCAACCACUUCUAUUCUUGUACUUCUUCAAUUGGGCAGUCAAAAAACAAUGGGCAGUUACUAAUGUUGAAAAAAUCAGAAUAGGUCUCAAGGUAAAAAAUGUAUAAUCUUGUUUUUGUCUAACAAUUGAUUCUCCAAUGUUUUAUACAUACACAUGUAUAUUAUUAAAUUAAUAAUUUAUAACUUAAGAUGUCAUGCUAAUAUCGCUAGUUUGACCACUGAUCCAUCUGCUCGCCCAACCAAUGUCCUUGAACUGGUCACUUUUCUGCUUCUUUGCCACAAUCAGUGUGAGAACAUUGAGGCAUAAAUGCCUAUCCCAUGAACUUGGACAGUACAAAUAGAUAUAGGCAAGUUAGGCAUAAUAGAUGGCUAGAUUCAUUGCUAACCAUAAUGUACAACUUCAUAGCUUCUUUUUUUUUUUAAAGUAAUUCUAUGUCUACAUCAGAAGGUACGCAAAAUGUAUGUAUCAACAUAUGCACAAAAGCACAAAAAACACAAAUGAACAAAAGAAGAUUGUGCACAUAAUGUAUGCGAUCUAUAAGGUCCAAUCUAAAUUUCUGUGUACGCAAAAUUAUACAAAUCAGAUAUAUGCAUCGGUUCCUCCAAAAUACAGAGUCCGAACCUAAUAAAUAGAAAAAACACUUUGUUACUAUUCUCAGGCAUAGGCGGCAUGAUGCCAUAACUAACAAUUCCACAUUUCCGCCCUUCAUUCUUAUUGAUUAGUUCUACAAUUGAUUUUCUUUUAUGCAAGACCUAAACAUAAGAAGGUUAUUUUGCUACAAUGUUCGAAUAAUAUGUAUUCAUAUACCAAUGUAAUAAUAAUAGUUAUUCAUAUACUUGUAUAAGCAUUUCGACUCUUCUUGUAGAUACUUUAGAUGUCAUCUAUCCUGACAAAGUUGUAUUAAUUGUGAGUUGAACAAUAGGGAACAAGAACCAUGCCCUUUUAUAUUAUGCCCUAGGAAUACAUGUUUAUACAACUUUAUGAUCUUAUGAAGAAGCUCUGACUAACCCACAUAACAAUAACGACUGUAGCACGUGCUCUUUGGUUAGCAUUCAAAAAAUGCAGAGAGAAAAAUCUAGAUUCUAAUAUUGAUAUAAGGAUGCGUAAUUGCUCAGCUUGGGUUCAAAGUAGAUAAUAUUUUUUCUAAAAAAAAUGUAGACUUUAAUAUUGUUUCUAAUCAUUAUAAGUGAACUAAAAAGAAUGAGUCGGUGCAUCAAAAUGUAAAAUUAACUAACAUUAUAGAAUAUGCUCAACAAGUCUGCUUGAAAAAAUGAAUCAGUAGUUUCAUUUCCAGAUAAUCUUACAUAGUAAAUAAAGUAAGUUAAUUGACCUGUCGCUUGAGGAACCUGCUAUACUGAUUAGCUUCGCUGAGUUUCCUUAAAAGCUUACUUCUCUCAGCAUCAGCCAGCAGCGACUUCAUCUGCAAAUAAUGAAAUAUUACUUAUUUUACGGAUGAAAUACACAGAACAAAGAAGUAAAAUGAUGGGUUUAAAUUUUGGCAAUGUCAACACAUAAUUCAUUGGAAGGACAGUACACCUUAAUUGUUUCUAGAUAUAUAACUAGAAGUAACUACAGUUGGGACUGCUCAAAACAGUGAGUGAUGAUUAUACUGAAUCUUAUUUAGGUACAUAGAAAACCUGCAUGAGGAAAUUUUUUUGUGUAUCAAAACAUGUUGUAGAAAUCUAAAAAAAAAAUAAAAAUAAAAAACUAAACAUGCAGAUGCUUCAUUGCUGUGGUAAUCAUGAUUGGAAUUUGGUAGUAGGCUGCCAGAAGAAAAUAAAAGGAAUUGGAGGAAAACAGUUAAGCGAAAAAACGAAAGAAAAUCAUAUGAAUCAGAGAAAGAAGAUCUACACACGAACUUGAGGAGAAUGGAAGGAAUCCAUUAGAGGAAAGCAUAUUUUCUUUCUUCUUUUCAUAUCCAACACCUCAAAAGGUUAAAAGUACAUAUUCUUGCCGAGGUCAUUUAUGGCCUUUCGGCUAAACAUAGCAUUGGACAUUUCCUCUCCAACACAAAGAAACGAAAGUAACAGGAAAGGAUUAAGUACAAGCAAGAACAUCAGCUCACAUAAACAUGAGCUUUUUAUAAGAGAAUCUUUACUGUAUGGCUUUGACUUAAUCGAAGAACUUCCAGAAAUAAAACUGAUUUUGAAUUUUAGUAUAUUUUAAGCCCUCUAGUCAUCAAUGAUUUAAGAUUCCAACUGCACUUUCAAGUUUCGACUAAUCUAAGCAUCUCAGUGCCAUUUUUGUAAAUUAUUCCGCAUGUUGGUUAACUUUUCAUUAGAGAUGGGUUGGUACUUGGUAAAAAUCUUUACUAUUCUAAAUUCAAAACAGAUCUCAAUGUAAUUCGGGUUUAUUCCUAUUCAUUAAAUUACAUGAAACAACCAUGUACCUCCAAUAGCUUAAACUACCAAAGAAUGGUAUUUUUAGCAUUUAUAUUCAACACUCCCCCUCAUCUACAGGCUCGAGACUUUUUAGUAGGUCCGAGAUGCGGACUUGAAUUAAAUAGGAGGAAAUUAAAUAAAGCUAGGAGCCUGGCGGGACUCAAACCCACAGAACCUCGUGCUAUAAUUAUAUGUUGAAUUAUAUGAAACAAUCGUUGUUCUCCAAAAGCUAUUCGAGAUAAACAAUGAUUUCAUAUAAUUUAACAGUAUUAAGCAACAAAAAAUGCACCAACUGGCUAAGAUAUGAAACAUAUGAAUCUUCUUACAAAAAUAUAUAUGAUUUAUGACUAAAGUAAUUCUGCAUACACUUCAGUCUGUUGUAUCUGCUUAUACAACGGCAUGUAUUGCCUCCAUAGAUUGGUAGCGAUACAACAAUUUCUUUACUUUGAAAGCACAACAUUCCACAAAUGUCCUUCAUUUCAAAAGAUUAAGCCACAUUACUCAUAAGCUGCCGAUGUAUCCCACCAAAUCAUUCGAGAAUUAUUGCAUGCUUCGAAGAGUUGAGACAAAGAAUUUGAGUAACAGGAUUCUAAGAUAAUUAUAACUUAUGUUCUAAACUCUAUAUUUCUGUAUUAUGCUUGAUGAUCAGAAAAAGAAUGUCGCUACAAUACUAUAUCACACUAUAGACUGGCACUACACAUGUUUCAUGAGGAGAUUCAUAACACUACACUGAUAAUAAUGAUGAUUGAUGAUUAAUAACUUACAGAACCAUGAAAGUAAAAACUUAUGGUUAUGCAUUAGUAAAAACAAAUACAAAGAUGACGAUAUGCAAAUUAAGUUACUAGAUGAUGACAUGCAAAUUAUGUUGCAUGCUCCUAGCUAACAAUGGCUAAGGGGCACAAUUUCGCUAUUGGAAUUAGGGUAUCAAUUAGGGUAUCAAUAAGACACCCUACAUGUCAUAUUGAUUAAUAAAGAGUUACAAUACUAGCGCACAUGCUGUUGUUGCUCGAUGUUUUCUUACCGUUGUUCGUCCUGUCAUUGGAUAUACCACUCCAAUGUGAAGCAUAUACGGGAAAAAGGAUCCUCUGCUUCAACUCAAUUUCAUAUUGGUACACUAUAGUUCCAUGGAUAACAAUUUGGUUCACCAUAGUUAUUGUUUAUGUGUUUCCUCCGGAGCCAAAUAACCACUUUCAAAUUUUGCACAUGAAGGUCAUCUACCCCAAAGUUCUGUCAUUCUCCAGAGGCCUUGCGGUUUAUCCUAAUUUCAGAUCGGUAUCCUAUGGUUGCAUUUGCGGCAUUUUGGUGUGCUAUAUAAUCAAAGGACUUGUGAUCUUCACACGUGCAUUCUAACAAAGGUUAACAAGAUUCCUCUAAACAUUUCCUUUAGAUACUUGUGCUCUCACGAUACCACAUCACAAAUGGCAAUAUAGACCCUUACACCUAUGCUGCAGAUGCAGAGGUGAGCUAUCAACUGAAUGAUGAAUAUGUGGACAGGUGAUCAUCUUGCAACACUUCCACAAUUAUGUUACUUUGCAAAUAAUUCUAUAUGAUAUAUAUUCUUAUUUUUAUUGAGGUACAAAUAUAGUUUUGAGGAAUGCAUGUGAGGACGAAAUAGGUUUUUUUACUUGGCUUCCUUUAGUUUUCAAUGCUAAAGAUAUUUGUUACAAAUCUCCUAAAGAGGAAGUAUGGUUAACCCUACCUAAUUAACAAAAAUUAUUACUUGAUUAUUUGUUUCUUUAUAUGCAAUAAGAAGUACUAUAAGACGUACAAAGUUGUUGCUGAGUUCAAAAGCCACAGUAAUGUGCUAGUACGCUCAUGUAACAUGUAGAAAGACUAAAUCAUAUAAGAGAUGAGUGUAAAAGUUAAUGAAUUAUUGCCUCAUCUGAAGCCAUUGGUCGUGAAAGGAGCUUUCUGGAUGGAUCAUUGGAAAUGACUUCGCCAUUAUUGCUCAGUUGUUCUUCCUCUGGUGAGAGGGAAGGAUCUUCAUCCAAGUUAAGACUUGAAGCACAAGACCUCCACAAUGAAUGUUUCCAAAAUUGUGGGCGUAGGGGAUAUCUAACUGUGUCUAAUUUAACUCGGUGUCCAUGUUUGGAAGAAGCAUCACUUAAAUGGGUGCACCUUUUCGGCACAAUCCAUAGCCUAUCUGAUGAGAGAUUAGGUCGCAAAAUGUAGCGAUGCUCCAAUUCCAGCUUUCUUGAGUGCCAAAUGAUACCAUAUGUCAAAGAGAAAAAGAAAUCAAAGGCAUAUUAGCCAAUUAAUUAACUUGGUAAAUCAGGUACGACAAGCUAGAAUGCGAUAAAUGAAAUCCCAAUGAGCUGAACUUCAAUUUCAAUGCUUCCAAAGAAGAAGAAAGAACUUCCUGCAAAAAUCUAAAAAUGUUAAGAAAUAAAGAACAUAUAUCUAUUUGCCAAUAUGAAAUGCUCAUUACAAGCAAAGCAGUUUACUUUGUAGCUUACUCAGAAUAACUGGUUAAAUAACCAUAAUGUCAUUCUAAUUUGUCAAAUAACUCUAACAUCUUUUUCAAAAUUAGUGCACCGAUCCGAAGGCCUAAAUAUAAGCAUCAUAGCUAGAUGUAGAAGGUACUAGCACAGGAAUGUUUCUUUCUUGGGGAAAAUUUUUUACCUUAUAGAAACUGUCUUUAAACACUCCAUGGUUGAUUUCCUGCAAUAACAUUCCAAUAGAAGUAGAAGUGCAAGUUACUAUCAUCAUAUUAAGAUAUUAAAUGAGAUUUUGAUUUCAAGUCAAAUACAAAUUAUGUACUAACAGAUCAAGACAAAUUAGAGAUCAAUGACUUCAAUCAAAUGGCUGAUGAAUCUUAACCAGCCAUAACAUAAAAAAAAAAAGAUUAAGUUGGUAGCUUUUUUCUCAUCUUAUGGCGUAUUCACGAGCCGUGCAUUUCGUUCUCCAAAAGUUUGAUGAAAUGAGAGUUCUAUACUGCAGACCUACACCAUAUGUUAGCUAUGAAUGCCAAAAAGUUAAAGAUACAUAGACAGAGCAACCUGAUUUUACACUAAUCUAAGACAAUUCUAUUUCCUUAACAAGAAAAUAAUCUAAGACAUAGUUAUUAUCUAGCAAUAUUUUAGGUGAUCCAGAGGGGAAGAACUAAGAGCCCCAUGUCACGGACUUAGCGUUUUCGUUCGCAAAGCCCGUGCGGCGCCCACCUUUCCUGCUCGAAGAUGGACAAGCCUUUGUCCCUGUUGCUAGCCCGGACCUUCGCGUCCUACGACUAAGUAUGCAAAGGGAAAUGACAAAGAGAAAGAGGCAGAGGUUCUCUCAAAAAACUAAGUACUACACUACUUAGAAAUGAGAAUUACAACCUACAAACAGCAUACAAACACACUCUCUCUUGUGUGCUUUGGCCUUAGCCAAACCCCUCUAUUUAUAGGCCUAAAGGUGCCUUUUCAACUCACCCACACACAUAACUCACCCAUUAUUACAUACAUAAUGAGCCUACAUAAUGAGCCCUCAUAAAUGCCAAAAGCUCAAGAGUCACCCAUAACUCCCAUGAGUUUCAUGACCCUUGAGUUUCCCACAGCGGGUUGGGUUUGGGUCUACUUGCCAACCCGAUUCGACCCGUUUUCAACCCGAACUCGCUAAGCAGAUUUGGGCCAGGGACCGGGCUGCAUAGAAAUUUUUCUAAGUCCCUGACACCCAGCUCUUUAAUAUCUCAGAUCAUUUUUCCUUGCAAAUUGCAACUCCCAGUAAUGAAAGUUGGACUAUAUAUAUGAAAGGAGAUUGAUUAACUUAGCAGUGGAAAAUAUUUAGAUGUGAUUUCUAUACCUAUGAGAUUUGCAUGACCAUAUUCUUUGGUUAGUAAAUUGGUACCGUGCGGCAUUCAUUGUGUCAUACCAGUAUCACAGAUUACCAAACGGUCAGUUUCUAUUUCUUGGUUAUGCAGCAUAUCCUAGUAGACUACUAUAUAAUAGAACUAAAAGAUUAGCCAAAAUGUCAAACUAUAAGAACUUUAUUUUUCUAAUAGUAAAAGUCUGAAUAUUUGUGGUUUGUCUUAGUUUUUCUCCGAAAGCCAACUGAAGCAGCUAAAUGCAGAACCCUAGCGUUUGUAACUAUGAUGUACUAUAUACACCAUACCAUUUCUAAUCUUUCAUUUCAAAAAGAUGGGUGGUUUUAGAAAGUGAUAUGGAUGGUUUUAGAAUGUGAUAUGAUCGAAAUAAAAUUUCUUAACAAAAUUCUAACAAAUAGAAGCAUGCUUUUUCAAUUGGCAAAAUAGAAUGUACAUAUCAUUAAAAUCAUUAAAGAGAAACAACAAAUAACAAAAGGUUACCCAUGAAAAGUUCUACACUGAAGAUGUAGUAACGAAUAAGAUAGCGCUAGUGCAGUUGCAUGCAUGCAGGGUAAGGGCUAAAUUUGUUUGCACCUAAUAUGUAACGGUGUAUAGUUGGGACGAGAACAAUCUAGCCCACCUUAUUAGCUCAGCUGUUGAAUCAGUUUUGCAUUCAACUUUAUACAACACACAGAAGAACUGAGCCUUUCAAAUUGCUAUACUUAGAUAAAUUUUCUGAUUCAAUUCAACCGCCAACUGUCUAACAAUCCAUAAAAAUAAGUAAACAAACUCUCCGAUGAAAAGAUACUGGAUCAGAAGGCCAAUGCCCCCAUCAAUAGCACUUAGACUUAUACGGAUGGACGGAAAUAUUGAUCGCGCCAUUGAAGGGAAUGUGUGCCCAAGGCGUCUGCCCAAUCAAACAAAUUGAGUGCAAGAAACAUAAAUGUUGUUUGAAUUAACCAAUUAACAGACUUGCCAACAGACGCUGCCCCUUUUAAUUCAAGUGACCCUAUUUUACCCUUAUUCCAGCAGAAACUUUGUUAUCUACCGCAAGAAAUUUAGAAAAGAGAUUUAUGUGUCCACUACGUUUCUGUGUAAAAAGAUUGGGACUUUUCCUACAAAAUUAGGGCCUCAAGCAUCAUUUGUCCUACCAUCAACAAUCUUAGGGAACAUACUUUUACACUUCCCAAUAAUUCCAAGAAGAUUUUGCAAUCAGGAUAAUCGCAAAUGUCAUAAAUCAUAUAAAUUAAUAACUUCGUAACAGCAAUUCGUACUGGCAAGUUGAAGAAAUUAUUUCAUAUCAAAACCUGUUAAAUCCAGCAUAAAUUCAUAAUCUCUUACCAUAUUUUUUUUUUUUUAAAAAAAUUUACUAGGAAGUUAUAAACUUCUCAUUUAUUCCCCUUUUUCGACUCCUUAACAAGCCUCUUUUAAUUUCAUCACUUGUAACCACUCUCAUUUCUACUUGCAUUUGACCACAUUCCACGCAUUGAUCAAAAUCAUCAUACAAAAUGCAACCCAAAAUCAUAAUACUAGCAUGGGUGCUAGUAGAAUUAGUUUUACCACCAUUUUUUUCAAAGAAAAAAAAAAAUUCUUAUCAUGAUGGUAUGGUCACAACGGUGCCUGUUUCUUUAGGAAUACUCAAAAAGAAAAACCCGAACUAGAGAUUUUCAAAAGAAAAAAAAGGAAAAAGAAAAAGAAAAACAUCCCUGGAUAGAACAUACAGAAACCAAGAAUUUUAACAAUAAACAGCUAAAUAGCUCAUCUCUAUUUAUUACUUGUAAGUGGGGAUUUGAACAAACUGCUGUGCGUGUAGUGACGUUGUGGAUUAAGGAUAGGAACUCCGGGAUAGGAUCUUUACUUACCUAGGGCCUUAAUCCCUCAUCAGUGUUUUACAGGGAGAGGGGGAACCUCGGAAUGGGCUUUGGAAGUCUAGGGGCGACGAGAAGCUUCUGUCGAGGGUGUGUGCGGAUAUGAACACCUGGCCCAAAAAUGCACGUCUCUGUAUUUCCCGUGCGAUUUUCACGAGGUAUAUAAAUUGUGCUGAGGUAAGUAGAUAAUUGGGCUCUAUAUCUUUAAAAGUAAUAAAUUAUUAGUGCUUAAAUAUUUACGGAGUUAGGAUAAUAGGGACAAAAAUUUUAUGGGCAUCGUGCCCAAACAAUUUGUUUGGGCACAAUGCCCGGAUGGGCGCCGCAUGUGCAGCGGCACCCAUCCGCACCNNNNNNNNNNNNNNNNNNNNNNNNNNNNNNNNNNNNNNNNNNNNNNNNNNNNNNNNNNNNNNNNNNNNNNNNNNNNNNNNNNNNNNNNNNNNNNNNNNNNCAACGUCUCUUCAUGUUGCGCAUGGCGGAAGGUACCUCUAUUAAGUCGCAUUUAGAUGAAUUUAAUUCUAUUAUUAUGGAUCUCCGCUCGAUCGAUGUCAAAAUCGAGGAGGAAGAUUAAGCCCUUUUAUUAUUAUGUUCUCUACCGCCCUCUGAUAAGAAUUUUUGUGAGACUUUCUUGUUUGGACGAGAUACUCUAUGCCUCGAUGAUGUUAAAUCCUCUUUACUUUCAAAAGAGAGAAUUGACAUGCAGAUAAGCAACGAGACAGGUGGAGCUUCAGGACAAGGUUUGGUCGCUAGAGGGAGGUCUCGGGAGAAGGGUUCCGGUAAUAGAGGUACAUCUAGAUCAAAGUCAAAACAUAGGAAUCUGAUUUGUGAUUAUUGUAAGAAGAAGGGUCACAUAAAAGCUGAUUGUUUCAAGUUGAAAAAUAAAGAGCAGCGAAAAAAUAACGGUGAUAAAAAUCAAAGUAAAAAAAACACAAAUACUGAAGCAGAAGCAAGUGUUGCAGCAGAAGAAUCAGAUAAAAAUGAUAUCGUCUUCACAGUUACGGAUAAGGCACGCAGACAGGAUGAGUGGCUUAUGGACUCCGCAUGUUCCUUCCAUAUCUACACGCAUAAAGAAUGGUUCUCGACGUACAAGCCUAUUGAAGGUGGAGAUGUAUUAAUGGGAAAUCACUCUAAGUGCACAGUUAUUGGAAUUGGCACUGUUCGGGUACGAAUGUUCGAUGGAGUAGUGAGGACUAUAUCUGAGGUUCGGCAUGUUCCGGAUAUGAGGAAAAAUCUGAUCUCGUUGGGUACACUUGAUACUAAAGGCUUUAAGUAUUCUUCAGCUGAUGGAUUAAUGAAGGUCGCUAAAGGGAAUCUUGUAGUGAUGAAGGCCAAGUUGUUCGACAUGUUAUAUGUUCUACAGGGUUCCACUGUGACAGGUUCAGCAGCGGUGACUUCUUCUUCUAUGUCAGAUUCGGAUAGCACCAGAUUAUGGCAUAUGCGACUGGGCCAUAUAAGUGAAUAUGGCAUGAUGAAGUUGGGCGAGAAAGGUUUACUUGGUAGUCAGAGUUUAGAAAAGUUGGACUUCUGCGAACAUUGUGUUCUUGGCAAACAAAAGAGAGUAAGCUUUAAGGCUGCAGUUCACCGAACAAAAAGUACUCUGGACUACAUCCAUUCUGAUCUUUGGGGACCUUCUCGUACUUCUACUCAUGGUGGUGCUAGAUAUAUGUUGACUUUUAUUGACAACUAUUUUCGUAAAGUGUGGGCGUUCUUUCUGAAAAGUAAGGAUGAGGUGUUUAAUUAUUUCAAACAGUGGAAGGUCAUGAUUGAGAAGCAAACUGAAAAGAAGACAAAUGAUUAAGGACCGACAAUGGUUUGGAAUUCUGCUCGUCAGAGUUUGAAGAAUUCUGCAAGAAAGAAGGGAUCGUUCGACAUAAGACCGUCAGGCAUACUCCACAGCAAAAUGGGGUGGCCGAACAGAUGAAUAGAACUCUUUUGGAGAGUGCUCGUUGUAUGCUCUCUAAUGCUGGCUUAGCUAAGAGUUUCUGGGCAGAGCCGAUCUCUACGGCAUGCUAUCUGGUGAAUCGAUCUCCACAUUCAGCACUUGAUUGCAAAACUCCGGAGGAGGUAUGGUCUGGUAGCCCUUCUGAUUAUUCUAAUUUGCGAAUAUUUGGUUGUCCUGUUUAUAUUCAUGUCAAUGAAGGCAAGUUAGAACCUAGGGCUAAAAAGUGCAUUUUUAUUGGUUAUGCAUCGGGGGUUAAGGGAUAUAGAUUGUGGUGUCCUGAAUCGUCUAAAUUAAUUAUUAGUAGGGAUGUCACAUUUGAUGAAUCUGCUAUGUUAUAUCCUAACCGUAAUUCUUCUAAUGAGACCCCGAGUGCUAGCAAGCAGGUGGAGGUAGAGACCGAUGGCAUAGUUCAGUCACAGAAUUCUUCUUAGUCAGAACAAAUUCAGUCGGCAGACACCUCAGUAACUGAAACCCCACAAGUUGAGAGGCAGAGCAUUGCUACAGGCAGAGCGAGGAGACAGAUUAAACCACCGCAGAGAUACGGUUAUGAAGAUAUGGUUGCUUACGCUCUUUCAGUGGCACAAGAUACAGAAGAAGAAGGUGAACCUUCGACAUAUAAUCAAGCUAUUUCCGGUGCCAGUUCUGCAGAGUGGUUGGUGGCGAUGAAUGAGGAGAUGGAGUCUCUCCAUAAGAAUCGCACAUGGGAGUUGGUAAAACCGCCUACAGGCAAGAAAAUUGUCGGCUGUAAGUGGGUCUUCAAGAAAAAGGACGGAAUCCCCGGCGUGGAAGAUACAAGGUAUAAAGCUCGUUUAGUUGCUAAGGGCUACAGUCAGGUAGAAGGUGUGGACUUUAAUGAUAUUUUCUCACCCGUCGUAAAGCAUACUUCUAUUCGUGUUCUUUUAUCGUUAGUAGCCAUGAAUGACCUGUAUCUUGAGCAGCUUGAUGUUAAGACAGUUUUUCUGCAUGGAGAACUUGAGGAGCAAAUUUAUCUGAAACAGCCGGAGGGAUUCAUUGUUGAAGGGAAGAAGGACCAUGUUUGCCUGUUAAAGAAAUCGCUUUAUGACUUAAAGCAGUCUUCUCGACAAUGGUAUAAGCGGUUCGACUCCUUCAUGACAGGUCACGGAUACUCCAGAAGCAAACGUGACAGUUGCGUAUAUUUCAGAAAGCUUGAUAAGGGAUCUUUCAUAUAUUUGUUGCUCUAUGUCGAUGAUAUGUUAAUUGCUUCCAGCGACAUAGUUGAGAUAAAUAAAUUGAAGGCUUUACUGAAGGGUGAGUUUGAGAUGAAAGAUCUAGGUGCUGCUAAGAAAAUCCUUGGUAUGAAAAUUAAGAGGGACAACAAGUCAGGACUACUGCAUUUGACAUAAGAGAAAUAUAUAGAGAUGAUUUUAAAGCGUUUCAGGAUGACAGACGCAAAACCAGUGAGCACUCCUUUUGCGGCGCAUUUCAGACUUUCCGCCGAGUUAUCGCCGCGGUCUGAUGAUGAGCGGGAAUACAUGUCACAUGUUCCCUAUUCUAAUGCUGUCGGGAGCAUCAUGUACGCCAUGGUUUGCACACGGCCGGACAUCUGCUACGCAGUGAGCAUGGUUAGCAGAUAUAUGACCAAUCCUGGUAAGGCUCAUUGGCAGGCUGUUAAGUGGAUUUUGAGAUACUUACGAGGUACCACUAACACUUGUUUGGAGUUUAGGAGAUGUAACGAUGGUGUGGUUGGAUAUGUUGAUUCGGAUUUUGCAGAUGAUUUGGAUAGGAGGAGAUCACUUUCAGGUUAUGUAUUCUCUAUUGGCGGAUGUGCAGUUAGUUAGAAAGCCUCACUACAACCUAUUGUUGCCUUGUCUACGACGGAAGCGGAAUAUAUUGCUAUGACAGAGGGUGUGAAGGAAGAUAUGUGGCUAAGAGGCUUAUUUGGAGAGCUUACUUCUUGUUGGGAUCCGACGGUUGUUUAUUCAGAUAGUCAAAGUGCUAUUCAUUUGUCGAAAGAUCAGAUGUUUCAUGAGAGGACAAAACACAUCGAUGUAAAGUUUCACUUUGUUCGGAUUGUGAUUGGGAAACGCACGGUAACUGUUAAGAAAAUUGGUACUGAGGACAAUCCGACGGAUAUGCUUACUAAGUCCCUUACUAUUGCCAAGUUCAAACAUUGUUUGGACUUGGUGGCAGUUAGCAGCAUUUGAGGCCCUAUGGGGCAUUUGGAGAAGACGGAGCACGGAGCGUUAAGAAGCAUUGAGGCGAAUAAAAUUCAAGGCAGAGUUUUGUGGCGAUCUCGGCAUAUACGUCGGCUAAACUACAAAUUAAACCAAGGUGGAGAUUGUUAUAUUUGGUUUAGAUUUGUAGUUAUCUAAAUUGGAGUUAAAUCCUAAUCUAAUUGGGAUUAGAUAUAAUUUAGAUUUAAUUUGGCAUAUAUGGAUUAUAAUUAGGAGUGUAAUUCUAAUCUAAUUAGAAUUAGACUCUAGUUAGGAGACAUGUAUUAUAUAUACAUGCUACGGCCAAAUUAAUCUUGCCGCGACCAAAUUAAGAUGCCACGUUCUAAUUAAGCAAGCAAUGCAUGUUGGUUCCGGACGAUCAAGAAUCCGCCGCGACCAAAUUAAGGGCCAUGCAAUCCUCUAAUUAAUUAGCCAACGUUGUUUUCUUCUUGGGUGCUGUUGGUGUUCGAUGCAAAUUAAUUAAGUCAAGCUAUUCAUGUUCCCUACGGUGAAGGAUCCCCGACGACUCUAAUUAGCGCCACUUUAGAGUUCGUAUGGGGUUGAGGAGCCGAGCCGGUUUUCUUGGAGUUGCUUGUUGCGGCGUUUCGGAUCUAAUUAAGUUUUGGUCUUUUGAGAGAUUUUCUUGUACUCCGCCUUUUCGACAUUAAUAAAAUAUUUGCUCCGUCUUCGCCCGUGGACGUAGGCCGUUGGCCGAACCACGUAAAUAUCAGUGUGUUCUUUCCUUAUCUUUUCUUUUCUUGCAUUAAAUUAUUUUCUGGAUCUAUUUUUCGCCGUUCCGAUUUUAACACUAUCUUUAAAGGAGGUAAGCUGCUAAUUCUCUGAAGGUUUUGCGGUAUGUUACUAUGGGGCAAAGAUUUGCUGUCUCUUAAUAGCAUAUUUAGUAGUAAUGCUUUUUGUUGUCUUUAUAUUCUGGAAAAGUCUAUCUUAUUCUCAUUUGCUAGUUGUUUGAAUCUUUGAUCCAUAAUGAGUAACUUCUUUUUUUUUUUUUAACUCUCUAGUGUACUGUGUAGUGUAGUACGCGCACCCUUUUUUACCAUUAUUUUUUACUAACAUUUUGUGAUUUCUAAUAAAGGCUAAUUUAGGUUUUAUAAAAGUUCUGGUGGCCAAAUCCAAAGCUGAAGGGUUGCAAGAGCACCUAAGGGACAUGGUCGAGGGAUUGUACAAGUGGCAAGAUGAUACGAAGAAUCACUUUCAAGCCAAGGUGCCUUUCUCUUUUCUGCAUAUAGUUCAAACAUGUGAAUAUGAUUCUUAGUUCUGUGAUUUGUGCAAAUCAGAAGUUUUAUCCUUAAUGAAAACUGCUUUCUAGAUGUACAUCCAUCAACUAUAUCAGGGGGAAAAAAUCAAAAUAUAAAAAAGGGAAUUAUUUUAACUCACUGUGGCAUUCAUUCUGUAUGUUAUAUCUAGAUCAAGUUACUUCUUGAGCUGUUGAUAAGGAAAUGUGGUUUGGAUACUAUGAAAACAGUUAUGCCCGAAGAACAUAUGAAACCGCUAACCAACAUAAGGAAGGUAAAUAUCAUUUUCUUCCCUGGUAUCAUUUAUAAUCCUAUUUUUUUUGCAUUGUCCUACCUUAAUUUCUCUUGAAAAGCAGAUUAAGGACCGAAAAGAACGGAAGGCCAAAUCUUCAGACGAUGGAGAGUCGCUUACAGCAUAAUUUCAAUAGUCUUUUAGUUGCAACUGAUAUAUAAUCGUAUAUGCGCGUGCUUCAUAAAUUCCUUUUUUGGGCCCAACUAAUGGUUUCAUUUAGCAUUAUAAGAAACUUUUAAUUCUUUAAAGAAUUGGGUUGAUGCUGUUCUACCACAGAGGACUCUAAAAUAUUAGCAUUGCAUGCAUAUGUAAAAGAUGUUUGCAUGCCAAUGUCAGAGGCUUGUUUAAGUUUCCUGUAUCAGAUUCUUCUUACAUCUCCCUGUAUUUGGGGCUAGGCUAUCAACAUGCUUAGAAAGGCGUAACUCGCGAAAGCCAGCUGUAAGGACUGAGAUUUUGGCAGUAUAGUUAAACUCUGUGUUGACGAUGUUUUUGUGUAUAUUUUAAUUACAAAAGCACUCGACAAGUUUCGAGAGAAAACAAGUUUGAAUGGAGAAGUUACGCGACUUUUAUUUUUCACUUAAAGUGAAUAGUAACCCGCUUUUCCGAAGAGGCCACGGAGUAGAGUUGGCUUCCGGCGCGUAUCAGACUCCGUUCAUAGCGACCCAAUAGCUCGUUUUGAAUGGUUCAGCUAUUCUGGAACCAAUGGCACUAAUGGAUUUUAGGUUUUAUGCACGGUUCCGAGAAAAAGGGAGUUUAUUGGAUUUAAGCUUAUAUUUAGUUGUGGUUUUGGAAAAUUGGAGAGAGGUUAGGUUUUGUCGCAAAUCUGUGACCAAAACAGGCGAAUCAAAAUCGUGGAUUUGAUGUCUCUGUCAUGCUGAUCGCACUGGUGCGAACCGGUCGAAAAUCCGACGGACGAAUCGCUAGAUAUCACACGUUUUCCGAGGUGAGGUCAAAAUGGCAUUUUUUGUAUCUCGCGCUAAACCCCCUAUAUUUUAUGUACCGAAUUGCAUGAGAUUGGACAUAGAGAUGUGUACGCGCAUUUUACAUGCGCUGUGAGAGACUCAAUUGAAAAUAAUGAGUGUUGGGUGACUAGUUUGCAAAUUGGCCAUAUGGUUUAUAUUGCAUCUAGGGUUUUCAAUUGGAAACCCUAACCCUAGAUGCCCUCCUCCGUCAGCCGACCUCCCUGCCACCCUCAGCACCCCCCUCUGCCCUCCCCGCGCGCACCCCGGCUGCCGACGAGCGCCUCGGGCCACCGGAGAAGGGGUGCAUUGCUUUCCUCCUUAUCUUCUCCACCUAACCACCCUCCAUCUUUGCCUAUGGACUAGCCAGGGUGGUCCUCACCCUUGGGAACACCCUUGGCAGCGGCCUCGACCUCCGGCGACUCACUGCAUGCGUCACCGCCGUCCCCACAGGCCGCCGCCGCCGUCACUAGCUCCCUGCGGCCGAGUUGGGUUAGCUCGGGCUGAGCCCAAGCUAGACCUUAACUCGCGUUCUGCCGCCACCUGAAACCGGCCGUGCCACCCUCCCUCGACGUCCGUCGACUCCGCCCACCGGUCGCAGUCGUCCCUGCACGCCGCCGUCGCCGCCUUGGCAGCCUGCGGCUAGCCUGGGCAACUCCGGGCUGAGGCGGAUCCAAUUCCUUCCCCUCGUGCCGCCGCAUCUCGGGGCCGACCUUGUCGUCUCUCUCUGGUCUCCGACGGCCUGUCGUCGCCGCCCCGAGGCUCCCCGGCCGCCGCCAUGGCCUUCGCGUUCAGCCGAGCCCGAGCCAAGCCCGUACGGGCUCGGGUUGGUCCAGCACCGCCACAGCCGCCUUCCGCUGCCGGCUGGCGUGAGCACCGGCUCCGCCUAGCCGCCGCACUCGUCCGUCGCCGGCUCCCCACCGCCGGUGCCCCUUGUCGGCCUGGCCUAGGCUGUGCUCUCAUCGGCUUGGUGCGGCUAGGGCAUCGUUGCUGCCGUCGCCGCUACCUCCCGUCGUCGGCUGAUGCGCGCCUGUAACAACCCUGAAGAAUAGAGGGUAGAAAUAGUAGUAGUAGCAGCUAGCAUGGGAGAGUAGUAAAAGUAGCAGUUUUACUAGUUAAGAUGGAGAAUAACGGCGGCAGCCGGUUGGAGAGGAGAAAGCGCGCCAAGUGGGAUGGCGGGAAGUGAGAUCGCAGAAGGGUUCAGGUGGGCGGACGAGGGAGACCCUAGGCGACUGGGGCAUCCAUGGCGCUCUGAGGAAGAGAAGGAAGGAUUGAGGAGAUAAGUAGAUCCGACCGAAUCCAAGCGCUUGGGAGAAAAAGAAGGCGCAGCGGGUCGAAGCAGCAGCCUUCUGGAGCGGAGGCCAAAGGCAGACCCAAGAACCACCGGGUUGCAGAUGGUGCGAUGAAGGACGGAGCCGACGCUCGUUUCCGUUAACAAGAGGAUCGGAUGAACCUAGGGGCAGGUCGGGUGAAUUUGGCGAACCCAGUAUCCGCCGGUUCGCGGAUAGUGCGGAGAAGAGUUGAACCGAUACUCAUUUGCUCGAUAACCAGCAUCCUGGACCGGAAAGGACCACCCGCGACCCACAAGGCAUCAGAAUUCAACCCUGUCAGGCCUCAUUCCCUAUUUUGACAAAUUGCAGUUUAGCCCUCAUACAUUAGCUAAUUUUACUUUUAGUAUGAGUUAGCAACUAGUAUAUAUACCAAACUGUAUUGGAAAAUAGAUUAUGAAUGAAAUGAAUUGAUAUUUUCUUCCCCAAUUAUCCUCUUCUCCUUUAAACCCUUCUUCUUCUUCUCUACUACUACUCCCUCUCAUCUCUCCCCACUCUUCUUUAUUACUUCUAAAACCCUACUCUCUUCCUCACAAUCUCACUCCCUAUCUCUCUCUAUUUCUCUACUUCCUCUUCUCUUUCACAAACUUACCUCCAAAUCACCCCAAAUCAUCCGGUAGCUUGGUUACCUCGGAUAAGCGACAGACAGCCACCCGGGACAUAACAGCGCCUUGACCUCUCUACGUCGCCCGUGUCCGCUUGCUACCGGUUCUUCCGCCUUCCGGCCGCCGUCAGUCAACCCUAGCUCUCCCCUGGCCGGUAAGCUAAGUUAUUGCUGUUUCGUGCAUUGUUUAUGGUUUGAAUCGCAGUUCUAGCAAACCGAAGCUGCUCCGAUGUCUCUGGAGAUGAGCACAGUGAUAGUCGGUCAGUGCUGAUCACAGUGCUCACCUUAUUUGGGGUCAACGAGCGUCGGAUGUGAUAAUUAGAAGCGUUUUAGUUUCAGCGCGCAGUUUUUGCUGAACUUCGCGUCGCUCGCGCGCUUGCCACAGUGGUCGACCGUGCUCCAAAGUGUGAGCACAGCCUCCGGCACAUCGAGACCUGUCAACGAUGGUCUCGGCCUAGCUAGAAUACCCUCGGUUUGCGCUGUCGAGCCGUAAAACCCCGAAAAUCACAUGAAAUAAUGUGCUUUUAUGUAGUUGCGGGGGUUUCUAUGCAAUUGUACGCUUUGUGGUUAUUGUUGGCAGCGUGUGCGAGUAGUGGGUGACCUCUGGACUGAUUGUGCAAGGCCCCAGGCCCUUGUGGAGAUCGAAAAUUGAUUUCCGGUGCGUUCGUCGACAAAAUCCGCCGACGAAACGUGUUUUCGGUUCGGAAUUAUUCCGACGGUACCUUGUGAUAUUUUGUGUUGUCACUGAGCCUUGUUGGCUGGUCACCCGCAUCGUUUCGAGGGUUCAGAAACGACGGGUGAGCGACGGUGGGUUCCGAUAUCGAAUUGGACACUUCCGGGAACCCAGAUUGGAACAAUUAUCCGACGAUAAUCGUUUCGAUCUGAGAUAGUGUUUUUGCUGCCAAACCAUACGAAUAUAAGUGUUUAGUGGCAGCGGGUGACUUGUAGCACGAAUCGGUGAGUUCCGGGAUAGUUCGUGAGUCCCGGCGAAGUCCCGGUGCGAUUUUUAGGACUUCUGGCGAGUUUGGAAAUCGGUUUUGGGAAACCGAUUCCCGUAGGUUUAUUGGUGAGGAUUGUGAGUUAGUGGUUCAUAUUUGUGUGUUGCAUUCUAACCCGGUGGACCCUUCGUAGGUCCGAUUGAUACUUCCUCCGUAGUCGGAAAGUGAGUGUCGUAUACGUACAGGUGGGUACUUCGAUCCGAAGUCGGUACAGUGGUGCACGCUCUGUGAUAUCUUCUUACCCUUGUUCUCCCGUUAUUACUCUACAUGCAUAUAUUAUAUGUUGAGCCCAGCACCUAUUCCAUAUUUUCUUGUUGCUCUACUUAGCUAUUUUGCAGAUCUUGUAUCAUGUUUAGGGUAGAGCAGUUUCGUUAUUGUUUGUGAGAUUGUGACCUAGUUGGUCAGUGCAUUGCAUCUGUUUAUGACCUAGUUGGUCGGUUGUUGUAUCCCGUAUCUGUGACCUAUUCGGUCAGUUUACUGCAUUUACUAUCGUGACCUACUUGGUCGGUUGGACUAUUCGAUGACCUAUACGGUCGGUAUACCCUAAGGGGUACGAUUGUCGGCUAGUGGCUGACGGUUAGUUCUGAAUUAUACGAAUGUAUGAUGUGACAUCCUUGUGACCUAUUGGUCGGUUCUUGUGCAUAUAGAUGUUAGUUGACAUUGAGUGGUCGAUACUUGCAUAUCUUCGAAGGGAUGUUGAGUUGUUCCAUCUUAGUUGACCUGAGUGGUCGGUACAUCUGUUCCUUACAGUUCGAUGACCUAUUGGUCAGUGUACCCUAAGGGGUAGGGAGUGUUUGAAAAGGCACGCCUGAGGCGCGCGCCUCAGUGCCUAGGUACGAGGCGCGCGCCUCGGUGCGAAGCGUGCGCCUAGGCACCUCAGCAAUAGCGAGGCAAGGCGCUAUUGUUGAGGCGCGUGCCUAGGCCCUGAGGCACGGGCCUCAGGCGAGGCGCGAGGCCCACAUAAGGCGCACACCUCAGCAUAUUUAAUAUUUCUUGGAUUUUGGAUUAAGGUUUUCGGGUUGUUGGGUUUCGGGUAUAAAUUUUAUGUUUUAACCCGAUAAGCUUAGUAAAAGAUUCUAUAAGAAACAUAAAAAAAAAAACCCUAAUGAAAUCAUCUACCGCCAUCUUCUUCUACCGCCCUCCUCUCCCUAUCCCUUCUCUAUCUGUGGGCAACUUGGCAUCCAGCAAGCAUCCGCAGCAGGAAGAAGCAAGGACAAGCAGCGGUCAGCACUCAGCAAGCAUCCAUUGUCAAGAGCAGCAUCAGUUUUUUAUUUGCAGUGGCACUGCAGCAGCAGAAACAGGAGCAGCGACAGCAAGAAAGCAUGAAGAAGUAGCAAUCAAGUAAGUAUAGCCUCUAUACUCCAAUAUUUUUCCUUUGAAUCUAUUUUUUAGUUAUUUUUUUUCAGGAUUUGAUGUAUUUUUGAGAUUUUUCUUUUUUUUUCCUAUGUUUUUACUUUUUUGUUUCGAUUGCAUAUUUCUUGAUCCAGUUUUUUAUUUUGAACUUGUUUUUAGUUAUUAUUUAUAGGAUUUGAUUCCUUUUAAGAUUUNUUUUUUGUUUCGAUUGCAUAUUUCUUGAUCCAGUUUUUUAUUUUGAACUUGUUUUUAGUUAUUAUUUAUAGGAUUUGAUUCCUUUUAAGAUUUUUUUUCCUAAAUAUUUUUUUUUUUCAUCUAGGGCAGAUGCCAAGUGUUUGGCAAUGAAAACAUUUAGAGUUUCUUGUUGGAAUUGGAAUCCAAAAACACUAAUACUGCUAGCUUCAGCAUGGCACCACAAUCACUUUUAAGUUUUAAGUUGAAAGUUGAAAUAUGUUUUUUUUAACUUGAGAACCUAUAUGCAUGUGCUUUCUUUACUUUUUGAUAGUUAUUUUAUUUUUGUAUGGUUAUUUUAGAGUUUUUUUAAUGUGAAAUAUAAAAUUAAAUUAGAUUUAGUAAAUAUGCGCCUCGCCUUCUUGAGGCGCGCGCCUCGCAGUGCGCCUCGCGCCUAGUCUCCAAAAAGGUCUUGCGCCUUUUUGCGCCUCGCGCCUCUUCAAACACUGGUGGUAGGAUUGUCGGCUAGUUGCCGAAGGUUGGCUGUUGAGCAUAUCAGCAUCGAUCGCCCGAGACUCGUUCGCAUUUCACGAUCACCAGCGGUCUAAUCCACCGCAAGAGGGUGUUCUUUUUCGGAAAAGUGGUUGGAUUUGCCGACCCGUGAGCCCAGAGGCAUAGUCUGGGUCAUAUACAAGUAGAGUGGCAGUGGGCACAGGCUUGAGGUCUGCGGUGCGGACCAAUAGAGAACAGAUUUCAUAUUGGGUAUUUUUGGACUUAUCGUCCGGUUGAUGCAUACAUACAGUAGCGGUAGUUAUGCAUUUGUAUAUCUCGUUCAUUUAUUUAUCAUUGCUACUGUAGUACCAUACAGGCCUGAGGUGUGCGGACCAAUAUGGCUGUUUCAGAUUGAGUAUUUUUGGACUUGUCGUCCGGUUGAUGCAUACAUACAGUAGCGGUAGUUAUGCAUUCAGAUAUCCUGUUCAUUUAUUAUCGUUGCUACUGUAUUUGACUUACCCGUAUUGUUGUUUAUCCUCCUUGACUGGUGUGUACUUCUCGCCUUCGUCGGCUUACGGUACCCACUGGGAGGGGAGACAUGUUUACAUGUUCUCACCCCCCCCACCAUUUUUUAGGUAUUGUGGCAGUGAGGGUUGAGACGAGACAUGAGACACGUUCGUAGCGGUCGAUAAAGUUUCCGGCCCGGUGACAUUCGGUCUAAUUUCUAUCCUUACUUAUUCAGAAUAAAUAACUUAAACUUGAUGGUUCAGUUGGCUUUCAUUUGCUUGAAUAAAUGUGACUUUGGUGAAUGAAUUAAAGAACUUAUGGUUUUUUUUAGAUGAAAACGGUUUUCUACCCCUCGUGGUAGCGUGUUUUAAAGAAAAGAGUUUCCGUGUGGGAAACGGUUUUGAAAAGGUUUUUGUUGGUUUUCAUAACUCUUAGUAAUUCAAAAUAAGUUUUCAGGUGGGAAACAUUUUAAACUGAUAGAUGUGCAUUUAUGGAUAUUUGUAAUGAAAUGAAUGUAAUGUGAAUAGUGAAUGUAUGUGUAUGCUCAUACUGUUACGGUUGUAUAUUGUGUUUGUGCGAUCAGUGCAAAUACAGAGGAGACUCUGUCCGUGUGAACAGUAGAUUUUCUGUAUUUGUGGCGAAUCUGGCAUACUCUGGGGUCACGUUUUCAAAAUAAAAAAUUGGACACUUCCGCAUUGGAUCUUAAAUCCAAAGGGACCCCAGGGCGUGACGCUAGCUGUCACGGUAGGGAUUCCGCACACCUCCCUGAUCGAGGUUGGUAUGGUUUAUCGUGUAUGAUGUUCUUUAAAGUCGGAUUCCUUCCGUGUGUAGAGUUAGAAGUUAAAGCGCACGAAAGGAGCUGGGAAAAUUAGUCACCACCAAACCUUUCUUCGCUUUUGAAAUUGUCUUAUGCUGCCUAUGAAGAUCAUAAGUGAAUCUGUUCAGAUAUUGAUAGUAUUUGCUCCAGAUGAUUUAACCUCUUGUUAGUAUAUAUGGGGGUUGAAGGGAAAAGGAGCAAACGGAAAAAGAGGUGCUAUUUUUUGGGCCUUCUUUGCAUACUUGAGGACUUUGGCAAUUUUUUGUUUAUAAUGUAAUGCAAUUAUGGCAAUUUGUGUUGCUGUUUGUUGUUUCUAACCUGCACCAUAGUUCUAUCGGCUCCUUUAAUGUUACCUUGGAACAAGUAGAAGUUUGGAUGGCUGACUUAUAGGCAACCACUUUUUAUUGUUCUUAUCAAUGGUGGCUAUUGGUUAUGUACUUAUUUGUGGGGGACUGCAGCUAUGUGUGUUCGGCUAUGGUUCUGGUUGCGCAUUAGUCAUUCUCAGUAAUCGACUGCUCCAAAUACUAUGUAUUUAUGACAGGCAUUGCCAAUCCAACUUUCUUAUUGCAGAUUUUAGGUGUAAUCAUAUUGAGAUCAUUGCAAGAUGAUUUUGGAAAUCAUAUUGAGAUCAUCUCAAGAUUAGGCAUGGUGUUCCUUCGUCUAUAAAACCGACCUGGUAUAAAACAGCUUGAAAAUAGUUUUAAUAAGAACCAUGGCCAAAAUACCCUAAAUUUAUCUGGGAGGUACAGGGCUCCUUUAUUUUCUUUUCACAUUAUUUUGAAUCUCUCCUUACUUUGUAAUUGUCCUUUAUGUCCUUAGUUUUUAUUGAUAGGUAACUCUUAGCUUUUUGAAUUUUUGUAUGUUAUUUAGUAAUAAUUUUUCCUGCGAUCUACUUUGUUCUUCAUUAAAUUAUUUUGAUUAUUCUUGGGUUCAUGCGAUUGUAGUUAUCAAACAGUUUGUAUAAAAAACUUAUCAAAUAGUUUGCUUAUUUUGAUUAGAAGAGAACUUUUGUUUUAUUUGUUAUUUUGAUUGCUUAAGAUAUUCAAUCAUUAAAUUUUAGGAGAGAACUUUCGUUUUAUUUGUGGCUUUUGUUUUAUUUGUGAGUUUAGAACCAUUUUACCUGGUUGCCUUUUGACUGAUCGAUUAGCUAUCAUUUCGCUUUUGUCCCAGUCCUUUAUUGCUUUGUGAUUUUUCCAAUAUUACGUGAUUUCCUUGAUUUCUUUAUGCUCCUGUUCAGUUUCUUCCUCUUCUUGAGCAAAGUGUGAAAAUAUUGCCUUGGAACAAGCGGAAGCUUCCAUAACAAUUUUGCAUAGUGUGGGAUUGCAUGCUUUUUGCAUUCUUUCCAUACUCUUUUCUUCAGCAGUGAUGACUCAGAGGGUAAAAGAAAAAAGAGGCGGGCCCGGUCUACAUACUCAACUCAUUUGCUCUUAGGCCAAAAAUGAAUUAGAAGGAAUAGGCUUCAUUCCAGGUUUUUCUAUUGCUGCUAUUCUAUAACUUAUUUUCCUACUCGCGACUUAUACUGUCUUGAUAUUUUUUUUCCUUUUCCUUUUCAAUCCACAAAAAUUUAUUUAGAUUUAUGUUUGUAAUACCACCCUUUUUCUUUAAUUAAUACUAAUUUCUUGAAUGUAUUUUUUUGGGGCAAUGAUGAUAGAUGAAAGAAAAGAAAUAGCUUUGGGAGGGAUAAUCCCUACGCAACUGGCUUCAAAUGUCCUCUAGGUCCAUAAGGAGGCCUAUUUUCCUCCUCUCGACUCAUGAUUUGCUGAUAUUUUUCAAGACAUUUUUCUUUCAGACGGCACAUAUUUAUUUAGAUUUAUUACUGUAGUUUUUUUUGGCAAUUACUGUGUAAGCUAUUUUUCCAUUUAAAUUUCCCUCCAGUUGAUAAUUGGGUCUGCUUUUAGUGAGGCGUAUACAUACUAGGAUACAAUAAUACAUAAGAGUACUAAUUCGUUUUACAUUAUGCUUUGUUUGAUGUCAAUAUUCCUGCUAUGAAGUUAACAUUGUAAAUAAAAUUUUAAAUAAAUCAUAAUGAUCUAGAAGCUGAAAGGAUAGGGGAAUAUAUUUGUUUUUGCUAUUCGGUUCCCUGAUACUCUAUAAAUAUACCUACAUCUAUGCAAAGAGAGCUCAAGCCGCUCAUACCCUCUCUCUUUUGUUUGCUGUGUUUGUUCGCUGUGAUGACCUUUCCUGUGAUGGCAAAAGGUUGCCACCUGCUAUAAUGACCGUUCCCUUGAAUGUCGGAUUCUUUCCAAUAAUUAGAAGGCGUGCUUCUCUUCCUAACUAAUAACGAGCAAACUUCGGAUGGCCUGUCUACAGGCAACCAGUUGCUCGCAUUGAUUCUGUGAUGUAUAUUUUGGGCUCGCAUUGAUUAGAGGGCUUCAGAGUAAAUCUAAUGAUGCUCAAUUCAUAGGAAAGUCUGAGCAAAAUAUAUUUUUGUCUUGACACUUUGGUAGAUGAUACGAAUAAUACUAAUUAAUUGGUAGAUGCUAUCCCAAACAUGCUAUUUAUUUGACUAUUGUGAUAUUUUCGAAUUUAUGCAUUUACAUAUUCCUCAGUUUCCAUGUUACUUAUUUCUCAACUCGUCCCUUUAGUUCUAUUGCUAUUCCUUACAAUCUCUAAAUGUAAGACGGUGAUGAUAAGAGCCACUCUCCUAUGAGGUCUCCUACUUUCUAUCAACAUUUACUACGAUGCCUGCAACCUCCCCCUUCAUGGCCUGCUCCUUAAAUGUCACAAGUUCUGAACAAAUUUUAGAUGAUAGUCUAUUUUGGAAGUUAGUUUGAACUUCAACUCUUUCAUGGUGCUAGGCCAAAAAUAAUUAGGCUGAACAUACUGAUGCUUGGUUUCUGGGGUUUUCAAAGAAAAAUAUAUUAUAGUUCAGUUCAGGUUUUACUUACCUGUUUUGCUAUAUAUUAUGUUGGUCACAUUGGUAAAUGACCCGAAUAAUACUGAAUAAUUGGCAAACGUGAAGAAUUAAACUCACGAUAUCUUGAAAUUAAGUAGGUUUUUGACUAACUCUAUUAUUAUGUUAUUAGAAGCUCAAACUGGUGGAGCACAAUCCAUGAACAAUCUUAACAUCUUUGCUCAACUGUAUAAUGGGAUUUACUGAAUCAGAUUUGUUAUAUAAAUGAUGAGAAUAUUCAUUGAGUAUUUACUAAAUGGACUAGAUUCAAAAUCAUGUUACUAAUUAGAUUGAUUUGGUUGGAAGAGAUCAGAAAUAGUAUGAUCAAUUGGUGUGUUUUUUUCCUGAUUUUGAGUGUUGAUUAAUUUUGCAGUGCAUUACACUCGGACGCUUAUUGACGGGACCAAGUUCGACUCAACCCGGAAUCGUGGGACGCCCUCAAAGUUUAAGCUUGGUCAAGGUGAAUUUUGAGAGUGCAACUGUUGAUUAGGGAUGAAAUUUGUAACGCAACUUAUUAUAAUGUAAAUCCGAUCAAGCUGUUUCAAUUUGUACAUCAUCAAUAAACUGACAAAUUCAUAAUGAUUUGUUCUCUGUGGCAUUGUUUUUAAUUGAUUGAGCUGAUUUUUUUCAUCCAAUGGAGUAUGUUAAACAAGUUCAAUUUAUCUUGAUCGAACUCAACAGGCUCAGAUUGAGAUAGGUAUCUAUACAAUCACGAUGCGAAAUUAUAUUUUUGAUAUUAAGGUUUAUGCUCUAUUGGUGCAUAGUUUAAUCAUGUAUAGGAUAAUUGAUUUCCUGCAUUAUGAAAACACAUUAACCAGAUUAUUCUUUUGACAACCAGACUAUUUACUUGACUAAUGUGAUAUUUUCAUAUAGGUAUUUACAUGUUCUCCAGUUUUAAUGUCACUUAUUUUUCCUAUACUGUUUUGUGCGAAUUCCGAACCGCUAUUUUAGUACUGAAUUAUUCAUGCCCUGUCUUUUUCGUCUUUUUCUGAAAUUGCCUUUAUAGUUAACUGCUAUUUUCGGCCGCAUUAACCACCAACCCCUUCCCUCCUAAAACCAAAAAACUGUGAGACCCCUGGUGUUCAGCGGUGAAGGCUUGUCGACAACUCUGGAGAGUGUCGAGACAAGUCUGAGUCGCGUUGGCGCGAAAUAGACGCUAAACGGACUCUGUGCGACGCGAGAGCAGCAUUUAGCAAAAAAACCUGCAAAAAAGCUGAUUUUCUGCUUGCUGUACCGGUACAGCCAUCAUGGCGUACCGGUACACCGCACAGGUUGUGCGCAAACUGCUCUCGGGUUGGCUUAUUGUACCGGUACGCGAGCCCGUGUACCGGUACGCCAGUGUAGGUAGGAGGACUUUUUGGUCUUUUUCCACCUCGUUCGUGUCACCCUUUCCCUCUCUCUCUAUUUAGACUUACGUAGAGCUGAGAGAGAGAGUUUGUACUGUCCUUCUACUCCUCUCUCUCUAGCUUCGAUCGUGAGCCAAUGAGGGAGCUCGGGUGGAGGGCACUAGUGCGACGUCAAUAACGGCGAAGAUCCACGCUCGCCCGGCCUCCUUGCGAUGAAACGGCGGCAACCGUAUCCCCAAACGGCUCCGCGGCGCGACGUCGGCGACGAAAGCUCCAACCGAGCUCCCUCCCUAGCCUACAAUCGGUUUGAGAGUGAGAGAGAGGAAGAAGAAGCAGAGGAACUCUCUCUCUCUCCCCACACAAGGCUAAAUAGAGAGAGGGAGAGCUAGUGACACAAACGAGGCUCAAAAAGACUGAAAUGCCCCUCUACCUACCCAGGCGUACCGGUACACGGGCCGGAGUACCGGUACAAAGGCUAACCCGAGAGCAACCCGCGCGCAGCCUGAUGAAGCGUACCGGUACACCUUAAUGGCUGUACCGGUACAGCAUGCAGAAAAACUGCUAUUUUGCAUAUUUUCUUGCCAAAUGCUACACUCGCGUCGCAAAGAGUCCGUUUUGCGUCUAUUUCGCGCCAACGCGACUCAGACUUGUCCCGACACUCUCCAGAGCUGUCGACAAGCCUUCACUGCCGAACACCAGGGAUCUCAUAGGUGAUUUGAUUGAUGUUCUCACCGGGGUGCUAGCUCCCUUUCAAAGGACAUUUUUCUUGCUAGAGAAAAAAAGAAGAAGAGGGAGGAGAGAGAUGACGGCUAGAGUUUUAUAAAAACUCACAUAUUUCAUCAAGAGGGAUAUAAUCCCUUUUAUAAUAAUAUAAUUACAAUUAAGGAUAAAAAUAAAUCUNGUAUAUAUAUACAUAUAUAUAUAUAUAUAUAUACAGCAGUGAAGGCUUGUCGACAGCUCUGGAGAGUGUCAGGACAAGUCUGAGUCCCGUUUGCGCGAAAUAGACGCAAAACGGACUCUGUGUGACGUGAGAGCAGCAUUUAGUAAGAAAAUCUGCAAAUAGCUGAUUUUUCUGCUUGCUGUACCGGUACAGCCAUCAUGGUGUACCUGUACACUGCACAGGGCUUCGCGCAGGUUGCUCUCAGGUUGGCCUCUGUACCGGUACACGGGCCCGUGUACCGGUACGCCAGGGUAGGUAGGAGGACUUUUUGGUCUUUUCCCACCUCGUUCGUGUCACCCUUUUCCUCUCUCUAUUUAGGCUUGUGUAGAGCUGAGAGAGAGCGUUUUCACUGUCCUUCUUCUCCUUUCUCUCUAGCUUGGACCGUGGGCAAGGAGGAGCUCAGGUGGAGUUCGUUCGUCGCCGACGUCGCGCCGCGAAGCCUUUUGAGCGGGUGUUCGUUGUUGUGGUGCUGCGAGGAGGCCGGGCGAGCGUAGAUUUUCGUCGUUCCCGACGUUGUGCCGGUACGAGUUUGAUUUUUGAGGUGAGUGAUCCGUCGAAAUCGUCGCAACUACUUCAAGCUCAAGGAUGCUGUUUUUGCAGAUUUCCUCCGUCGACCGUUGGUGUUUCGGCUCGUGUGCGAUGUAGGAGCAUCAGUUUGUAGUGAGACUUGGUUCAUUGGAUUCAGGACUUCGAGAGGAAUCCACGAAGCCUAAGAUUACAGGAUUUGGUGAAGGUUAGCUUGGUCGAACCUUUAUUUUACUCUGCUGUUGCUAUACGUGGACAGAAUUGAUGGAUUUUGAUUGUAGAGCUUGGAGUUAGCUUGAUUUCUGGAUUUGGAGGACUUCGGUCGAUCCAGCAGGUUGUUCCGCAGCUGAGGGGGUUCUUUGCUGCCAGGGAUUAACUCUCGAGGUAGGUUACAUCGGUUUAUUCCUAAGCACAGUAUUAGUCGACAUGUAUGAUUUUCAGUUUUUAUAAAUCAUGUUGUAGCUCAUUUUCGUUGAUUGUAUCAUGGAUAAAAUCAGCAUGGAGGACAUGAUUAGUAAACCAGAAAUAUACAUGUUGGACUUAGAAAUUGACUUAGGAGAAAACCAGCGAUUUGGACCUGUCACUUGUUUACACUACCUGAUUUAGCUUUAGAAGCCGUUGUACUUUUGUAUUGUCGCAGUAUCGAGGCGACGGAUACCCCAGGUAGUUUAGCUCUCUGUUACGCUCGUGCUGGGAUGCCGAGUGUAUUUUUUUCAGUAGCGUUCAGGCUGUUCCGGACUGUUGGAUGCCGUCGGGGGUGACGAUGGACCCAUAUCGCCUUUUUGGCGUUAGAUUGUGCCGAGGGCACGUGACUGUUGGUUGUUAGACCAGUUAGUAUCGGUUACUUGGACUUUGGCUUGAGAGAGCCUAUUGAGCUCGACAGAGAUACGCUGCAUACUCGGUUGGGUAGCUCUCCCGAGUGCCACUCCGGAGAUGGGCACUGUGCUUUCGCGUUGGUGUCGUGCAUGCCGGUUUGACUUGCUCCCCUCGGACUGGUUAGUGUGGAGGUAGCUGGAUAGUCUCAACUGGGCGGGACGGGUGUGUUCACAGUCCCUGGGGCGGAUAUGUUUACAGUCCCUAAAGAAAUUUGGUCGGAAUUCACAUUACUACAAUAGGUCAGAGUAGAGCAUAAUAGUGUAAUAAAUGAUAGCUGUAGAUUUUAUUCCAGCAUUUACUGCUACUUUUGUUCCCUUCUGUAGACUUAGUGGGUGGACCGAUGUUGUUGAGGGCGGCACCCACUGAGGACUACUUGUUUUUACAGUAGUUCUCACGCCCUGUUGUUACCCCGUUUUUGCAGAGCCAUCGUCUUCGGCUGCUGCUGUUGCUGAUCAGGAUCGAGGCAAGGGCGUCGCGAGUUAGAACCCUACCCGUCGUGCCGAGCUAGAGGUGCCCUACAGCAGGUAGUUGUUUUGGCUGGAGUUCAUGUACAUACAGCUUUUAACUCGCCAGCGCGAGUAAAUUUUUGUACCGUGGUUCUGAUGUAUGUAUAUGGAAUUCAGUUUAUUUUUUUUUACUGAUUCUUCUAGCAACUCUAUACUACUGUUUGUAGUAUUGUAUGUUUUACAGGUACAGCUAUCGCUUCAUAUACAAAAAAAAUUUCUUUGUAUACGACGGAUUUGUCGGCGUGCCCGGGGAACGUGUAAUCCGGGGCACGACAUUACGAAUAAAAUUUUAGUUUUUUUCGAUAUCGUUUACUUAGUAAAUAAAUUAUGUCAAAAUGGACGGUGGAAAUUGAAUAUUCUUUAAAAUUUGAGCAUAGGACUUUUAAAUUCAAGAUCAAGAAUGUUGAAGUUUAAAAUUUAAAUUUAAAUUUAAAAAUUAAAAAUUUUAAACUUAAAUUUAAAAAUUUAAAUGAUAACAACGGAAAUAUAGAAAUAUAUUUUUAUAUACUUUUAUCUAAAUUUUAGUAAAUAAUAAUGAACAGUCUAUUUAAAAUAUUUUAAAAAUUACAUAAAUUUAUCGCCGCGAAGCGUGGGCCUGCACAAGUGUAAAAAAUAGAAUGGUUCCGUAUAAGAGAGGUUAAUACUACAGACGUGGAAUAGGAUUUUGAAAGAAGAAAAGGGGGAGAGAGGAAGAAAGGAAUAGGUGGUAAAUUUGUUUUCAAAACAUUUUUAAAAUUUUUGCAAAUGGAAAAUCCCUUUCUUUCACUCACGCGUUUUUACUCUUACCAUCUCUCCACUCGAUCUCUCACGCUUUUUUCCUCCCCCCAUCUACUCUCUCUCUCUCUCUUAGGGAGACGACGAGGACUAGGAGGUGAGGCCGCGGACCGCGAGCUCUCCCGCAGGGAAGACGACCAGGACUAGGCGGAGGUGAGGCGGUGGUCCGAAUUAAAUAGCUUAAGCAAUUUAGAAUUUUAAUUCAAUGUUAUCUUUUUGAUUUAAAACUGAUGUCAUAAUUUACCCUUUCGCAGAAAAUGUAAUGGAGACCUAAUUCUGACCUCGCUAUUCUAAAUAUUGUUUAUUUCUACACUUUUCAGAUUAUAAACCGAGAUAAUAAAUCAUCGAUGAAACUUACGUUGUAAUUAUUCCAUAAACCUGCCUAAUUAAGUUAUAUUAACAACUUUAACACUUUUAGAAUUAACAUCUGAGCUGGUGUUAUUUUAAUUCAAAAUUUUGGAGGUGAUAAAUGGAAUAUUACAAAAUCCAAAAAACUCUUUGUUGGAAAUGUUAUAAACCCUUCUACGCUACCUGCCUUUAGAAAUGCAUGUCCAACAUGAAACUUCUUUUUCUUUUUUUUUUGAGUUGAGAUUCUUUUAAAAAUUUUUUGAAUCAUUGACAGUAGUUAAAAGAAAAAAGGAACAUUUAUCAGCCGAUUGAUGAUUUUAUAACUUUAAAAAUGUUAAUGUUUAUUAAUAUAAUUACGGGAUAGAAUAAUCUAGUUAAAGUCUUGACCAACUAAAUAAUCAUAUAAAAAUAAAUAAAUAAAUAAAAGAAAAGUUAGAGUUGAUUACCAAUCCAAACAAAAAAGUUUAGAGAUCAUUUGGGAAUGAUCUAUAGUUUCGAGCGGUCCUCCGUACCUUUUUCGGAAUUUCUUUUUUUUAAGGCUGACUAUUCUAUGAAAAUGAUUUAUUACACUAAUCCUAUUCAAAUUGUCAUCAAGAUCAAACAUUGCUUCUAACGAUCUUGUGAUUUUUUGUUUUCUUAUUACUAGAAUUUUUUAAAAUAUUGGAGAACUCUACACCACGCCCAGUGACGUGGACUAUAAAGAUAACAAUUAGCCUCUUAGUGUACAGCUUAAGGAUGUUGGGCCUACAAUUCGCAAAAAAGUAUUAGAGCCAACAAAUGAAUAUAAUUUUUUCAUAUAGAAUGAUUGCAAAAAUCUGUUUCUUUAGAUUAGAUUUUUUAUUUUAAGGACCAAAAAUAAGAAACAACAAAAUUUAAUUUCUUAAAAAUCUGAUUCUGAAUUAUAAAUUAUGCACCAAAUCAUAGAUUCCGAAUAAAUUGUCAAAUUGCAGUUCUAAUAUUUCAGUAUUAUUAAUCUUAUUUUAAAAUUUACAUUUACACCAAAUUUUAAAAUUUAAAAUUUAAAAUUAACAAUUUUUUGUUAAAAUUUAAAAAUAUAAAUAUUUAAAAUUUUAUUUUAAACUUUAAAUUUAAUAUUCUAUAUUUAAAAGGUAAAUUUUAUUUUAAUUUAAAAUUUAUAUUGAAUGUUUAAUAAAAAUUUCAGUCUUCAAUAAUAGCAAUUUAAGAUAUUAAAUUUCUUCAAUUUAAACAUUUAACAUUUCAGUUUUAAAUUUUAAAUUUAAAAUUUGCAAUUUGUUAAAUAAAUAUUUUGGAUCUAAUCAUUAAAAUUUAGAUCUACAAUUUCAAUUAAUUUUGAUUUUGCAAAAUUAAUCUAACUCUUAAUUAAAAAAAGUACAAAGGCGAUCGAGAAAGGAUCCCAGAAAUCUGAAAAAAUUAAAGAAGAAGGGCCUAUUUCGGAACAGCCUUUCAUUUCGUUCAUCUUUUUUUUUUUGAUAGAAAGUAAUUAAAAGUAAUUGCUUAUUAUAUUGUCCUAAUGUCUUUACCACCCUGUAACUUUCGGUCCCGAAUAUAAUUUCGUUAUUAAUCUUAACUUUAUAUUUAUCUACGUAUUCCGCAAUCAUCAAUUUUUACUUUAAUUAAAACUUGUAUGUGUGAUAACAACAUUGUAGCCGUGGUAUUAUGGAUUGCACACAUCCAGCUAGCACAGCAUAGCAUAUAUAAAGAAUUAGGCCAAUCAAAGUGCCUGUGUGUAAAUAAGUUUGAAUAAACAUUUAGCUUAACCCCUUUUUGGCCGUGGUCAUCCAUAGCGCUUUGUUUUCUGUAGGCGUCAUUUCGUCCAAACAGAUUUAGGAAGUGUGCAAUAAUAACGCUUCUAUACACUAUGCAUACCAAAUCAAUAACACCAUCUGUCCAAUAGUGCGGCGAAAGAAGACAGGAAAAGUUGGACAUUCACAGAAACCUAGGGUAAGAGAAACCUCAUAGCAGCACAGUAGACGAACCGAUACAGAGGCUCAAUACUAAUCGGUUUAAAAUAAAUACUUGGCAAUAUUUUAGAAAUUGUUCACUAAAAUUAUUGAGACCUGACAUCGCUAAUUCUCCAUCGCGUAGAUUACAAAAAAAUAAUACCGUGAACAGUUUAAAAAUUUUUAUGAUAUUUUAAAUUCCAUCCUUCUAGAUCGAUUCCCCUGUUGCUUUGCGCCUCCUUCCCGGCCUCUGGGCCGUUGCUCCAUGACAUUGCACGAGAAGUACCCACAACUUUUCUUUUUUAAUAUGAAAAUAUUUAUUAUUUAUUUACAUUAUUUGCUUAUUGCAGGUUAAAUACUAUUAAGAGAGUUCUGGAUAGAUUCUUGAAAGUUGAUGCGUUCUACUUUGGUGCGUCAUAUUUGUCACUUUUCCUUCUCUUAUGGAAAGAUUACCGACGCCGCGCACCCAUACGACGAGAUUCGAAUCCAUAGCGAUAUUUUGCACAGCGUUCAAGCGUCUUCUCCCUGUAUGCCAUCUGUUCAUUUAGUAUACUUGCCGCACAAGUAAAGUCCAAUUCUCGUUACAGAUCACUGUACAAUAAAUUCUGUACCUAGUAGACGGACUGCGAGUUUAAUUUGUGCAUAUGAUAGUAGCCAUAACUAUUCCUACAGUCUUUCCAUCCGCUCCCUGCUUCAUUGGAUUGUUUACGGUUACGAGCAACGUGUAUUUCCACCUGCUGUAUUUUAAUGGACUUUCUAGCUUUAUACUGGUCAUUAUUGUUGAACAGUUGUUAAGAUUUAUGUUAUUACUAGCGGUCUGAGCAUAGAAUUAUCAUCUUUGUACUUCUAUUAAGCACUCUUAAAAGCAGCUAGAUAUUUUUAUUGAUCUCUGGCAAGCCAUUGCAUAAUAGCUAUUCAUGCAGUUGAGUUCACAAUUUUUUUUUUUUUUUUUGUAGCUUUUCAACUUAAGCUCGACACCUGAGUAAACAUUUUAUAUUCUAGAAUAAAUCUAUCUUUGUAAAAAAUAAAAUAAAUGCAUAUAUUUCCAUUAAUCUCAAUAUACUCACCAAUCAAAAAAUGAAUCAGUUGCAAGUUAAUCAUACAUAAACGGAGUUCAAAUGUCCCAUCUUGGGGAAGUCUUCAUUGUUUUUUUCUUUUUUCUGAUUAAGUGACUUUGUUGAUUUAAAUUUUAAAUUUAUCUAGUAAUUAAUGUUAAUGAUCCCAUUAAAUUGAUCAUUUAACUAGUUUUAAUAAAAAUAGAAAGCCAACUACUAAUUUGUGCAAACAUAUAAUUUAUUGUCAGCCUUCAUCUUUAGCACCAGCAAUUUUUGCCAACAAGUAUGGAACGAAGAGUUGGGCCCUAAAUAGGGGUAGGAGUGCAUAGAAAGGGUAAGAAACAAGGAAAAUAAAGGGAAAAGAAAAGAAGUUGAAAAGGUGGAUUUUAAAAAGAAAAGAAUUUUUAAAUUUUUUUCACUUUUGGUUAAAUCCACUGAAUUUAAAAAAUAUUUUAGAGAUCUAUAUAUUUAAAAAAAUUUAACUAUAAUUUAAAAGUUUUAAAUUUAAGAACUAAAUAUAUUUAAUAGGAAUAAAUUAAAACUUGAAAUUAAUUUAAAGUGACAUUUAAAAUGGACCACCAAGAUUAUUGUAAAAGAUGUUUUUAUAAGUUUAUCAAUAUAUUGUUCCUCUCGUCUUUAGAACAAUAAUUGACCGUUUCUCACAUAUAGGGUUGAACGGAGGGUAACUUUUUUAAAAAAAAUAGCAAAUUUAAUUUGAAGUUUAAAUUAGAACAUAUAUUUUAAUAUGAGAAAUUAUUAAAAUUUUGAAAUUUAAAUAAAUAAUAAUUAUUAUAAUUGGACCCGCUUUCAUUUCGGUCGUUAAAUUAAUUACAAAAAAAAAAAUUAAGUUUGUCAACAUUUGCCCUUCCUCUACAUCUAGCUCAAAAAAAUUGAACUUCCGCGCCAAGCUUUUACCCAUUUUUCUGAAAAAUUAAGGUACGGCAAACGGCCCCAAGCCAAUCCAAGCACCAUUGAAACUUGAUUGAGGCCCCUACUUUGCACUUGUCAUGUGCUCAUAUAUAAUUAUUAGCAUUAAAUUAUAACAAAAAUCUAUUUCUGUAUUCAAAGACUACAAGUUUGAAUCACAUCAAUUAGUUACUAAAAACAUCGAUCAUCUAUGUCAACACCUCAAAUCUCGAUAGCCUCAAUAUUAUCGGAUAAUGUAAAAACAGCUUCUUUAGGUUAAUCCUCAUGUGCUUUGUUUGGUUCGAGUAUAAAUAAAAACCAGUUGUUCCAAAAUAGUAUAAGAUGAAGGUAUAAUGGUGGUAAAUAAUUGUAUUUGGUUAAAUAUAUUUUAGCCAGUAACAAAAUAGUGUUUUGUUGAGCGUAAUGAAAAAAAGAAAGAAAUGGUAGUUUAGAAUAUAAAAAUAAUAUGCCCUCUUUAAUAUAUUUUGAAUUAUAUUUGCUUCACUACGAUAAUCAUAUGUUGUUAGAUAAAGCUAAUCACCUCUAAGAUAUAUACAAAAACAUCGAAAGACUACCAAACAUAUUUGAAGACAUCUACCUUUAAAAAAAUUCUCUCUAGAAAAUCAAAUAUAAUUAAAAUAAUAUAAGAUAAAGCUGUUCAUUAGGGUGAAACACCGACUCUUGAGCGAGCUACCUCGGCUCAAAUCGGCUUAAAUUCAAUUUCGACCCUAAAUUUAAGCUCAAACUUUGAUUGAAAUUAAUUCGACCCAGCCUCAAUUUCGAGUCGAGCGACUCCGAGCCCAUGAACAGCGCUAAAUCUCCGAACAUCAUACCGAUACAAUAGUUUAAUUUUAAGAACCAUUAUCUAAAUUUGAUAACAAAAACUAUCAUCAUAAUUCAAAGACAAAAUUAUAUAAAAUAAUAUAUAUAUAAUAAAAAAAAAAUUAUACGAUAAUAUCUAAUCUUUCCGGCCUCACAUGUCUUUCUUUUCGCCUUCAAUCUCCAUAUAUUCAUUUUCAUUAUGCAACAAAAAUAAUAUAAUUAUAUAGAAAAUUGGAUUACAAUCAUCCAAUCAUAUAAUAUACUAAAAUAAAUCUUUAUAUAAUAAUAAUUUUUACUUUAAAAAUAUUCUGUACUAUUUCUCAAGCAAUAACAAUAAUACGCCAAGGUAGCAACUGGGCGGGUAUAGUGCCUUACUGUAACUUAGGCUCCGACUUGGCCACUGUUAGGUGAGAAACAAAACAGAGAAAAGAGACGGAAAUAUAUGAAAAUUAAGACGCUCUGUGAAAAGAAAGAAAGAUAAAGUAAAAGAUAUAAUAAAUUUAUGAAAUUUGCUCUUUUAUUUGCUAUUUGGUGUUUUUAGCCAACAACCAUAUAUCCCAUUUACACCUAACUCAGAUUAUUCACUCAGCUAAUAUAUAAAUAAAAUAAUAUAUAUUAUAUAUAAUAUUAAUAAUAUAUAAUUAUAGUAUAAUAUAUAUAUUAAUAUAUAAUAUAUUAUAUAUAUAAAUUCGACUUUUGAACUUUCCGAGCCUAAUUCGAAUCGAGCAUAAUACUCAACUCGCUUGAAAUGAAUUCGAGCUUUUUUUUGUUCAACCUCUUUUUUUUGUUCAAGCUCGGCUCGUUUAAUUUCGGGUCGAGCUCGAGCGAGCCAAAUAUCGAGUCGAACGCGAGUCGAACGUAAGCCGGCUCGCUCAUUUGCCGGCGCUAGUUGCAGCGCACUUUAAUAGCUACCAUAAAAAAACACAAGUUUUAAUGUCACAUAUUUUUACAAAAAGAACUUAUCUUUUCAUGAAUAGUGAAAAGACAUAUCUUUUCACAUUAUUGAAAAGACAUUUUUUCACAAAAUAAUUCAUUUCUUAGUGAAGAAAUAUACUCUUUGUAAGGAGACACGUCUAUUUGCAUCAAAUAAAAAAAUAAAUUUUUUUUUAUAAGAAAACCUAAUUUACGAAAAAGACAACUAAUUAUUUAUUUUUAGUUUUAAAUAUUUUUUUAGUUUCAUUAUUAUUUCUGAUAUUACAAUCUACACAAAUUGUUGGAAUGAAUUAAUUUUUUUUUUAUGAGAAUUCUUUUUAUCAUGCGCAUCUUUUAAACAUAUUAUAUUCUAUUUUUAGGCUCAUGCUGCAUGGAUUUUAAAAUAUUGUAGAACGGCAUUCAAUAUACAGCAACCAGGAGAUGUAUCUCAAAAGAUUAAUUUGCUAAAUUUUUCUCUAAUCCUCGUAGUUAUUGGCCCUCAAAUUAAAUAGUUGAUAUUUCCUUUAUUGUUGACUUAUUAUUUUUUUGUUUUAAAGAAAUAUAAUUAUCAAUCAUUAUCCAAUAACACUCAUGAAAAUUAUACCUUCGUCAACUAAAUAGCAUUCAAAAUAGUUAAAUUCAACAUAAUAAGUCAUAAAUAAUAAAAAAUUUCAAUUUGAUCGACGUAAAUAGAUAACUAAAAUAUACAAAAGUUAUGGUAUGUCGAUUUAACAAAAAAAGGCUAAAAUGUCUAUUUCAAAAUUCAAAAUUACCUACUAUUGACAGAGUCCAAAAACUCCAAACUCAAAGUUAUGGUGUGUCAAUUAUUUUAAGAAAAGGACUAAAAGGUCUAUUUCAAAAUUCAAAAUUACCUACUGUUGAGUGUUGACAGAGUCAGAUUCUAACUAUAUAUAGUUUUGCCCCAAAGUAAAUUCGGUUGGUAGAAAAACAAAGAAAGGAAAUUAAGGUGACAAAUUGGCAAAUUGCCUAGGUACCAGAGCUUAUGCAUAACCAGAAUAGUAAAUAUCUCAAAAAAUAUCUCAUGACAGUAAUGUCGCCCAAAAAAUUAAAAUUUUAAAUUCAAAGUUUUAAAAAAUAAACAAAUAACUAUCUCUAAAGCUUAUAAAUAACUUCACAAAUUAACCUCAUAAGUUCAUAUUUUCUUAAUUUANUAUUUAUAAAAAUAUUAAAAUUUUAAAUUAUUUUAAAAUUUUAAAUUUUUUGGACCAAAAUGCCCUUCCCAACAGUUAAAACUUUGACUGCUGGGAAGGGCAUUUUGGUCCAAUAGGCUAUCUCCCUUGGAAGAGCCCAAAGUCAAAACCCAACUCCCAAUGUGCAUUGGGAGUUGGGGUGCUGCAGGGGCCUUGGGAGUUGGGUACAACCCAACUCCUUGCCGCGCCCGGUUUGGGAGGCACUUGCUACACAGGCCGGGCCGGGCCGUGCCGUGUCGGGCCACCGGGCCGCGGGAGUAAGGUCCAGCACGACCCGGUUCAACUGGCCGGGCCGGCCCGGCACAAAUGCUACAGUGCUCGUGCCGUGCCUGGCCCGGGCCGCGCGGCCCGUUUGACACCCCUAUUCUUACUGUUAUUUUUUCGAUUGUUAUCAUUAAGUGUUCUCUAAUUAAAAUUCUAUUUAUCCGCUGCAUCUAUGUUCCGCUACUCUUAGGCUGUUAUUUCAUCUAAUAUAUUUAAUAAAUUUUUAUGAGAAAUUUUUUUAUCAUGUACAUAGAUCUUUCCGGACAGAACAUUUUCAAUAGUUAAAUUUAAUUUGCAAAGUUUAAAGCGGCAUGAUAUAAAAUUCAAUAUUUGAUAUAUAGUGAGUGUCGAGCUGCAUCUCACGAGAUCAGUUUGACUAAAUUUUUAUCGGAUGCUUUCAGCUUUUUGUCCUACAAAAUUCUUCUUUCAAUUUUUCAUUAAUUAUGUUAAAAGAAAAAAAAUGUUCUAAAAUCAAUUAUUAACAAUUAAUGAAUAAUAAUGUACAGUUGUCAAAACUCAUACUUUCAUCAAGUAAUAGCAUUAAAAACAGUUAAGUUUACCGUGGUCUUAAAUUAAAUAAAAAUUUUACUUUAAUAACCUAAAUAAUUUAAAUUAUAGGUAAUGAAGGUUAAGAAUGUAAAUUAAAAGAAAAACAAUUAGCUAAAGGGUAUGUUUCAAAAAUCUCUAUAGUUGGAGGAUUCAAGUACAUUUUACCGAAAUUCAAAUGAAAGCCAGAAAAUUAAGAAAUGAUGGGACACUGGGACACAGCAAACAUCAUAUUUAACUAGCGAAGAGGCCCGCGCUUUGCAGCGGGUAGAAGCUGUAGUAGUAAUUAAUAAUAAUAAAAUAUCAAAUAUUUUUUUGUAUAUCUCACUUGGUACAUCUACCAAAAGUCUCUCACUGUAGACAACAGAUAUUAACCCAACGAUGGAGAGAGAGAAAGAGAGUAAAAUGGCUCAUUUUAAAUAAAAAUUAAAUGGGAGAGAUGAAGAGACGUAUGUUGAGAGAGAGAGAAUAAAAUGGGGGAGAUAAGGAGACGUAUGUUGAGAGAGAGAGAGAGGCAAAUAGCUCAUUCUAAAUAAAAAUUGAAUGGGGGAGAUGAAGAGAGGUAUGUUGAGAGAGAGAGUAAAAUGGUUCAUUCUAAAUAAAAAUUAAAUGGAUGAGAUGAAAAGACGUAUGUUGAGAGAAAGAAUAAAAUGGCUCAUUCUAAAUAAAAAAAAAUUCAAAAUUAGGAGGUUAUGACACAUCAGCUUAAAGCAUUGGAGAUUCAUAAAGAGUAAUAGAUAACAUUGAAAUCAUCAAUCCAACAUUCUAAACAUUACAAUGUUUACCCCCUCCCUUUUAACCACAAAUAAAAAAUUUCCCUUAUAGGGUGGGAUUAGCUAACCCCACCCCACCCCAGGAAUAGGGUUGGAAUUAAGUUAAUCUCACCCCUAUUUAAUUUUUAAAUAUAAAUAUAAAUUUUAAUUUUUAAAUUUAAAAUUUUAAAAAUUUAUAUUUAUUUUUAAAAAUUUUAAAUUUUAAAUUUUAAAUUAUUAUUUUUAAUUAUUUAAAUUUUAAAUUUGAUAUUUUAUAUUGACUUUUAAAUUUUUUAAUUGAGAUUUUAAAAUAUAUGAUUUAUUUUAAUUUGAAUUUAAUUUUAAAAUUUAAAAUAUUUUUAAUUAUUUAAUAUGUAAAUUUUUGACUAUUUUUAUAUUGUAACUUUAAAUUUUAAUUUGAAAUUUAAAAAUAUAAAUUUUAAUUAUAUUUUAAAAUAUUAUUAUUUUUAAUUAUUUAAAUUUUAAAUUUAAUUUAUAUAUAAUUGGGGCAAUACAUUAUUUUCUAUUUAUACAAAACAAUGUCCUUCUUAUUCACCUACUCCAAUCAAAUACUAUUUUACUUAUACCUAAACUAAACUCAAUUCUCACCAAACACAAAAUUAUUCUAACCCCACUUAAUCCUGAACUUAAUCCUAUCUCUGGAAUAACAAGUUCUUACUUAAUCCCAAUCAAACGAAGAAGUCACAUACAUGAAUGAAUACAUUAUAUAAAUAAUAGCAAAUUAAAAACGUCUCUCUAAAUUAAUUACUGACAGAAAAUAGUACCAUCUGAUCUACACCUUAGGGCCUAUUUGGAUAUUACAGCAAAAAUUCUCACGAAAAUUAUAAACUGUGGUUUUUGGACCUUUGUCCAAUGAAAUAGGAAAUCUGUAACUCUAAAGAUUCCGCGGAUUCAAUUUUUAAAGCUGUUUGGAUGCGCAUUGUGCAAUUUCACGAAUUUCUCUAAUUUUAAAUUUUCAAAUUUUCAAUAAAUUUAAAUUUAAAAUUUGAUAUGUGAAAUGUGUAAUUUAAAUUUUUAAAUAUUAAAAAUUUAAAAAUAAAAAUCUAAAUUAUUUUUUAAAAUUUUGAAAUUUAAAAUUUUUAAAAAUAAAAAUUUUAAUAUUUUAUAUUAAUUUAGAAUUUUAAAUUUUAAAUUUAAAAAAUAAAUUUUAAAUUUAAAGUUCAAAUUUGAAAUUUGAACAAUGAGAUUUGAGAUUUGAAUUUCAAAUUUAAAAUUUAAAAUUUAAAAUUUAAAAUUUGACAUUUAAAUUUAAAAUUAUAAAAUUUAUGAUAUUUAAAAUUUAAAAUUUAAAAUUUAAAUUUAAAAUUUAAAUUUAAAUUUAAAAAUAUGAAUAUAAAUUAAAUUGUAAAUUUUUAAAUUUAAAAUUUAAAAUCUAUGUUGAAAUUUAAAAUUUCAUGUUGAAAUUUAAAAGUUAGAACUUAAUGCACCUUUGUCCAAGAAUGAUGAAAUUCUUUUUCUUUGGUUAAAGUGGAUUAUAAUUUUACUUCAUUUUUUGGUGUAUAGUUUAACUAUAUUCCAAAAAUUACGGAAUUUUUUUUUCUUCCAAACGCUUAAUAAGAUAAAUUUUCUACCGGUAUAGCAUAUUAACUAUGCUAUGUUUUUAAGGGCAUCCAAACGGGGCCUUAUAUAGUACAUGCAAUACUAGGCCAAUACUAAUCAAGAGUAGCCGCAUAGUGGAAACGUCAACCUACUUCGCCAUACUUGCUACUGCUUGAAUUUUAAAAAAAAUUGAUUAUAAACAAUCAAUAAUAAGAAGAAUAGGCACACAAAAAAUAUAUUUUUAUUUAUUGGUUUUCAAGUAAAUGCUGCUCCUCUUGUAUCUCAAGAGUGACCCCUGCCAGUUGGAUCUCGGUGACGUUAGUGCCCUCGCUGAGCUGUUGUUGCGGCUGCUGUUGUGCCUGACUGUUGGAGGGACUGUGUGCUGAGCAUGUUGAGGACGAUAUGGAGGCGGAGGCGACCGAUUGGUGUUCUCGUCGAACACUACGACAGUAGCAAAAACAAUAGUAGCAUGUCAAAAGGGCGAGAAGAAGCACAAUGACUGCCGGAGAAAGGACUAUUAGGAUGAAUUUCGUCGUCCAAUGGUGAUGGGAAGGCUGGUUGGAAAAUACCAAAGGGUCGCCACUGCUCCUAAAUGGAUUCCACGGUGCGGGAGCGUGGAUCGGGCCGUGGAAAUGGUGAAAAUUCAUUAGAAGAUGAUGAUGGAGUUAUUGUGAAGGAGGAGAAGAAGAGAGAAUAGAGCUGUUCAGCAGGCACGCCCUGGUAGCGGGAGGAGUGCUUCAACCGACGGCGGGGAAAGAGCUAGCAGUCGUCACCGCCGGGGAGGAGGACUAGCAGCAUCGAAGGGAGCUAGGGAGGAAAGGGUUGGGGGUAGGGAGAAUGGGAGAUAUAGGAGGAGAGGGUUGGGGAUCGAGAGGGGAGAAUGAGAGAUCAGCUUAAAUUAUAUAAUAUUUCACAGUGAAACAUUUUUUUUUAUUUUUUAAUUUUUUUCGAACAGUUUUACGUACCCAUCCGCGCAGGCUAUACAUGCUAUAAUUCCUAGCUAUAACCUAAACUCUACUCCAGCCUAUGAUUACUAUAUAAGCUUACACUGUACCCUCUAAUUUAAGCUCAUGUUGGCCCACUUUUCUUACCAAUUAUUGUAAAAUAAUAAAUAUUUAAUGAUAAUAAAAAUAUUUAUUAGAUAUUUAUUAGUAAUAAAUAUUAAUAACAAAUAUUUAAUGAAAUAUUUAUUAAUAAUAAAUAUUUUAUGAUAAUAAAUAUUAAUAAUAAAUAUUUUAUGAUAAUAAAUAUUAAUAAUAAAUAUUUUUAAAAUAUAUAUCUAAUAAUUAAAUUCUAAUAGAAAAUUUUGGUGUGCGCGAAAUGUAAUAUGUACCUGUACCUAUGCAUUGCGGUGAAGGUGAGAGUUAUGACUCGAACGAAACAAAGAGAUCAAGAGAGAGCGCGCCUGAGAGAGCGGGGACCUUGGGUUCAGACCACGUACGGUCUCGCCUCCUCCUAAUCCUUGUCGUUCGUCCUCCCUACUGCUCCCGCGAAAGAGCUCGCAGUCGAGAGAGAGCGGUUAUCAGGAAAAAAGAGGUUCUUCCGUAGAAGAGAAAACAGAUAAGAGAGAGAUAAAGAGAUGAGGGGAGGAAAUUAAACAAGCGUGAGUAGGGGUGUAAAAUGGGUCGGGCGGCCCACGGGGCGCCUGGCCCGGCACAACCGUGGGUACUAUAGAACCCGUGCCGGGCCGGCCCAUCUUGGCAUUUGGGCCGUGCUGGGCCAUUACCGUGGGGCCGUCCAGCACGGCACGGCCCGCAUGGGCCAUGCCUGUUGGACCAGCACGGCCCCCCAGUGUGUUUGGGGACAGUUGGCUCCCCAACUCCUUAAGCAACAUCUUGGGAGUUCGGAAACCAGCUGGCUCGCCAACUCCCAAGGUAUGAAAAAAAGGGGGCCUAGGGCCGUAGACUCUAGGCCCCUUUUUAAGUUUGUAGGCCCCUUCUAUAGAGAUGAGCCUAUCUCUUCUUAAAUUUUAAAUUUUUGAGAAAUUUUUAAAAAAAAUUUCAAGGCUUCAUAAAAUUUAAAAUUAUUUCAAAAAUUUACUACUUUCUAAGUUUUUUAAUAAAUUUUAUUUUUUUAGCGAACAUAUUAGUGGAAACAAAAAAAAGAACUAUUUUAUUUUUUUAUUUUUUAAUAUUUUUAUAUUAUUUUUAAAAAUAAAAAAUAUUGAAGAGCUGGCACGGAGCCCGGCCCGGCCCGGCCCAGCUCGGCACGUGCAGUCCGGGCCCGAGGGCCAUGCUAGGCUGGGCAUCCAUCAAAUAUGGCCGGCGGAUUUCCUUCAGAUCGGGCCGAGCUGAUCCCUGGCCCGAUUUGGCCCGGGUGAAUGUGAGCCGUGCUGGCUCGGCACGGCCCACAUUACACCCCUAAGCGUGCGAGAGAGUGGAGAGAUGGUGGGAGUAGUUAAGAACCGUGAGAGAGAAAAAACGAAUUUUUCCGAUAAAAGAAUUCUAAAAAUCUUCUUUUUUAAGAAAAUAAACUUCACGAAAAUAAAUUUAAUUACCACAUCUUUCUUUCUUCUUCUCUCCCCCUUUUCUUCUUUCAAAACCCUAUUCCACGCACUCUCUAUCUAGUAUUAACCGCUCCUAUAUAUACUGAAUUAAAAAAGCUUUUGCAGGGAAGCAGAACCUUCUUAUUUUCUACAUUUGUUCGCACCCCACCAUCUCUACGACUCUAGAACUUACAUAAAUAAUCACACUAUUAUCUACAUUCUAGUCCAAUGAAAGGCAAACAAAAGAAAAAUCAAGCACAUGGAUGUGCAUAGAGGGCUCAAGUUCAAGCGCCCAUCGUAUACCUUGUAUAGAUAACUUGUUAUAGAUAGCUUGUUGGCAAAGUAAAUUAUAAUUGUGAGAAGACUUAUAAAAAUUAUUGUAAAAUAAUAAAUAUUUAAUAAAUAUUUAUUAUCAUUAAAUAUUUAUUAUUAAUAAUGAUAAUAAAAAUACUUAUUAAAUAUUUAUUAAUAAUAAAUAUUAAUAAUAAAUAUUUAAUGAUAAUAAAUAUUUAUUAUUUCACAAUAGUUUUUAUAAAUUUUAAAUUUUUUAAUAAAAAUACCAAUUUAAUUUUAUUGAUAAUAUUUUUAAAUAUUUUAUAUUUUUAAAAAAUUAAAAAUGACAACUUUAAGUGGCUAGAUUUUUUUAAUUUUUUAAAUCAAUUUAAAAUAGUAAAAAAAAAAAAGGACGUUAUCAAACCGAUUGAUGAUUUUAUUAACUUUAAUAAUGUUAAUUAUUUUUUAAUAUAACUUACAUGAUGAAUUAAUCUAGUAAAGUCUUUAACCUAACUAAAUAUUUUAAAAAAAUAUAUAAAGAGAAAAGUUAGAAGUUGAUUACUAAUUCAAACGAAAAAGUUGAGAGAUCGAUUUGGGAAUGAUCUAUAGUUGAGGGGUCUCCAUACAUUUUUUUUUCACAAAAAUAUUUUUUAUUUUUUUGAAGGGUUGACUAUAAUAUGAGAAAUGCUUUAUUACAACCUAACCCUACAAUUUUUGCCAUUGGAAGAUCAACUUGCUUCUACAUAAUUGUCAUUUUUUUUUCUUAUUUUUAGAUUUUUUUAAAAAAAAUCCAUCUUAAGCCUCCCUAGUCCCUAGUCCCUCCUCCUUAUAGGGGUUCAAUUACCCCUAGUCCCUACUUAUUAUAGCUAGGAAUUAUAGCUUGUAUGUAUAGCCUGUAUAGAUGGGUACAUAAAACUGCUCAAAAAAAAUUAAAAAACGAAAAAUAUGUUUCACUGAAAUAUUCUAUAAUUUAAGCUGAUCUCCUAUUCUCCCUUCUCGAUCCCCAACCCUCUCCUCCCCAACCCUCUCCUCUCAAAAAUUCUCAUUUCUCCCCAACCCUCUCAUCCCAAAUAAUCCAUUCAACACUGCUAGUCCUCGUCCUCGGCGGUGACGACUGCUAGCUCUUUCCCCACCGCCGGUUGCCGCGCUCCUCCCGUUACCAGGGCGUGCCUGCUGAGGCUAAAGCACUGCCACUUCUGCUCCGGCGCCCCCGUACUGCUCAGGUACGCCGCCUCCCUGUCUCUUCCCUACCCCACUGGGCCUAACUCAAACCGGCACCUCCCCCCCGAUAGCGGGCCAACCUCCCCCUCGGCUCCCCUGGAACCCGCGCCCCCCUCCCCCUCCGCCCCCUAUGGAACCCGCACACGCCCCACUUCCUUCCGCCCCUGUCACAACCUUCAUUUUUCGUACAUGCAUGUCUUCUUUACACAUCAGAACUACAUUAUCUGUGCCAGCCAACAUCAAAGCAUACGAAACCCUAAUUUAAUACGUGCCACCACAUAUCAAUGCAAACAAAACACUAUUAUCAAAGCAAAACUAAACCCUUAAUAGGAGACGAGUGCGAUGGCAAACAAAGAGAUAAUUAAAGAUCAAUUGUCCUUGGUUUCGUACAUACCCCAAAGACAAACCUUAUCAUGAUGAGUCUAAUCACACCAAGCAUGUGCUCAACUUAUUAAUUUGAGCAACAUCUUUUAUUGGUAAUUAUAAUAUAAAAAAAUUCUUUUAUCUUAAAGUAAAUAAGAAGGUAUAAUGGAGAAUUUGAGAACCUCUACCCUACUUUCUUUUUUUUUUUUUGGGAGUGGCCACACAUGAGAGGACUCGCCGCUCCCUUCCCCUCCCGCGCCCCCCGGGGGACUUGAAACGCCUCUCUCCCCUGGCACCACUGUCCCCACGGAAUUGCCGCUAUCCUCCCUCUGGCCCACAUACUGAACCGCGCCCCCUCUGGAACAGCGCCUCUCCCCCCUCCGCCCCCUACCCCCGAUCGCAUCCCCCUCUCCCUCAGAGAAAUCUGAAACAUCAGAUAGAGAGAAAUAUGAAGAUUUAACCCUUAUAUCUUAUAUACAUAACUAUUUUAAAUUCUAGAUUAUCAUAUAAUUUUAGGAGAUGUACAGUUAUUUAUAUGAUAUGGAAAUAGCACGUAGAUACAUAAUUUCAAGCUUUUCAGAUCCUCUCCAUUAAUGCAACAACCAUUUAAAAAUAUUUUUGAGAUUUGAAGGGGGUUAAAUAUAGAUUUUUUGAAAGUCUGGAAAGAAAAAUAAAAAAUGAAAAGUAGGUAUUUGUGUAAAAUUCUUUAAUUUUAAAUUUUUGUAAUUAACUUUUUUUUCUCCUAACUCCUCAAUCUAAUCAAACCUAUCAAAAAAUAUAUAUAUAUUUUAAAAUGUUAGAGAAUAAUUAUGCUCUGUAUUUUUUAAGGUGGCAGUGGAGUAUCCGUACACGACCGGACUUGCAUGCUUUGGGGUGGUAGCAUUUACCCUUGCGAUUUCAUUGGUCUCGCCCCAAUUCCUGAGAACGACGGAUAACGGAGCAUGCACGGCAGGACCAGCCUAUUAUAGAUACAUGUAUCUUGCCGCAUUGGUUGCAGUGGCUACUUGUGUGAUGUUGAUUGCGACCACAGUCACCAUCAAGAUCGAAGUCCGAUCCCAUCAGCAUAUACAGAACCAUCCGAGAAGGCUCCUCCUUCGCUUUCUAGCUGUAUAUGCUAUUGUCCUUUACAGUAUUUGUAUUCUAUCUUAUAUUAUAUCUAUUAUUUUACUUUUACAUAUUAAGACAGGAAAGCUGGUUUGUUUUAGUGUGAUAGAGAUGUUAUUCUACUUUUUAGGUUUCUCUAUUUUGUUUGUAGUGUUAGCUGGACAUGUCGUUUAUUGGAUAUAUGUUGUAUGUUAUUGUAUUAGAUACCACUUAUUGUAAAUCAAUUAUAUAUACUAUGAAGAUUGAUCAGUCUAAAUAUUUAAUGUUGCUUGUCGAAAAAUUUUUGGGCCAUUUGUUUGCAAUUUGAUAUUUGAAUUAAUCAAUCUCUUAUAUCCCUGCAAUAAUUCACAUUUUAAUCCACUUCUAAUGAAUAUACAUCAUAAUUUUGCAAAUAUUAAAUAUUUUGGUAAAAAUAUUUUAUCUUUGGUAGAAAAAGAGACAAAGAAGAACUACUGUUUAAAUAAAAUUUCUCACUCAAAAACUUACUAACUUUUCAUUAAAAAUUCCCAGUAGCUUCUCACAGUGGACGUGACCAUUAUCACACUGCUAGCCACUGCAAAGAAUGUUGUAAGAUACAUGUAUCAGUAAUAGGUUGGUCCUGCCGCACAUGCUCAAUCACCGAUUUUUUUUAGGAGCCGGGGUGAGAGGAAUUAAAUCCCAAGACUAAAGUCUGCUACUUUUAAGAAUGCAAGUCCGAUCGAACGUAAACACUCUGCCAUCGCCUUAAAGCUUCCUCUAUUUUAUCUCCUGUUAAAAAAGAGCAUAAUUAUUCUCUAAGGUAUCAUUUGGUUCGGAAAUAAAGCUUCCCUAGUACCAAACUUAUUAAAAUAAGUAGGAACCUAGGAAUAAGGCCUUAUUAGCCCUCUCCGACCUCAAGGGUCCACUUGCUCUGAAGCGAGCCCGGUUGGUGCUUAUUUUUUUUUACUAAAAAAAGCUGUUAAUUUUUUUUUGAAAAAAAAAACUACAAGACACAAGAAAAGAAGUCUUUUCGUCAAAAUGACCAUAAUGCCCUCCCUAACAUUCAAAUCUUUUACUAUUAGAGAGAGCAUUUUUGUCCAAAAAUUAAAAAUUUAAAAAUUUUAUAUUUUAAAAAAAGUUUUAAAAUUUCUUUUAUAUUUAUAAAUACUUCAACAAAUCUUUAAACUCAUCACAACAAGCGAAUCUUCCAUUCUUUUUCUUCGACCGAUACUAACUCUUUAUAGUUGUCUUGCAUUAUAUCUGUUGUUUUACUUUUAUAUAUUAAGAUGGAAAAAAUUAAUUUGUUUUAGUAUGAUAGAGAUGUUAAUUUAUUUACUAAGUUUCUCUGUUUGGACAUGUCAUUAUUGGAUAUCUGUAGUAUGUUGAUCUUGCAGCGCAAGCUCCAUCACCGAUCUUUCUCAGGAGCUGGGGUGAGAGGAAUGAAACCCCAAGGCUGAAGACUGUCACCCCUAAUAAUGAAGUCCAAUCGAGUGCAAAUACUUUACCAUCAUCUUAAAGCUUUCCAUAUUUUAUCUCCUAUUAAAAAAAAGCAUAAUUAUUCUCUAACGUAUCAUUUGGUUCGAAAAUAAAGAUAUGUUAGGCUAUUUCUUGGAUAAGCAAACUCUUAUUAGAAUAAGAAGAAACCAAGAAGCAAGGCCCGGUUGGUACUUCUUAUUUUUAUUUUUUUUCUAAAAAAAGUUACUGAUUUUUUAUUCGAAAGAAAAAACUACAAGACGUUAGAAAAAGCCUCUUUUGGUCAAAAUAAUCAUAAUGCCCUCCCUAAUAUUCAAAUUUUUUACUAUUGAAUAUAGCAUUUUGGUCAAAAAAAAUGAAAAACUAAAAAUUUUAUAUUUUUUAAAAAGUUUUAAAAUUUUUCUACACUUAUAAAUACUUUAAAAAAAUCUUUAAACUCAUCACAACAAGCAAAUUCUUCAUUCUUUUUCUUCUGCUGAUACUAAUUCUUUAUAUAGUAUUUGUAUUGUGCCUUAUAUUAUAUUUGUUGUUUACUUUUAUAUAUCAAAAAGAUUUUUUUUUCGAAAAAAAAAUAAAGAACUAGAAAAAGUCUCUUUGGUCAAAAUAAUCAUAAUGCCUUUUCUAAUAUUCAAAUAUUUUACUAUUAGAGAGAAUUUUUGUCAGAAAAUUAAAAAUUAAAAAUUUUAUAUUUUUAAAAAAGUUUUAAAAUUUUUUUAUAUUUAUUAAUACUUCAACAAAUCUUUAAACUCAUCGCACAACAAGCAAAUUUUUCACUUUUUUAUUCUGCCGAUGCUAAUAUUUUAUAAUAUUUGUAUUGUAUCUUAUAUUAUAUCUAUUGUUUUACUUUUAUAUAUCAAGACGAAAAAACUGAUUUGUUUUAGUAUGAUUGAGAUAUUAUUUUAUUUACUAAGUUUUUCUGUUUUCUUUUCAGUAUUAGUUGGACAUGCCAUUAUUUGGUAUCUGUAGCAGGUUGAUAAUGCUGCACAUGCUCCAUCACCGAUCUUUCUCAGGAGCUGGAGUGAGAGGAAUGAAAUCCCAAGACUGAAGACUGCUAUCCCUAAGAAUACAAGUCUGAUAAUCCCAAGACUGAAGACUGCCAUCCCUGAUAAUACAAGUCCGAUUGAGUGCAAACACUCUACUAUUGCCUUAAAACUUUUCAUAUUUUAUCUCCUGUAAAAAAAAAGAGCAUAAUUAUUCUCUAACAUAUUGUUUAGUUCGGAAAUAAAGCUAUGUUAGGCUAUUGCUGGAAUAGGUAAAUUUUUAUUAAAAUAAGCAGGAAUCUAGGAGCCAGGCUUUAUUGGUCCUCUCCGAUCUCGAUGGUUCACCUGUUGUAAAGCGGGCCAGGUUGGUGCUUUCUAUUUUUUAUUUUUUUCUUAAAAAAAAUAUAUAUAUUGAUUUUUAUUUGGAAAAAAAACUACAAGACACUAGAAAAAGUCUUUUUUUGUUCAAAAUAACCAUAAUGCCCUCCGUAACAUUCAAAUCUUUUGCUAUAGCAAGAGCAUUUUGGUCGAAAAUUAGAAAUUAAAAAAUUUAUAUUUUAAAAAAACUUUUUAAUUUUUUUUACAAUUAUAAAUACUUUAAUAAAUCUUUAAACUCAUCACAACAAAAAUAUCUUUCAUUCUUUUUCUUCAACCGAUUCUAAUUUUUUAUAGUCUUUGUAUUGUGCCGUACAUUAUAUCUGUUGCUUUAAGCUUAUUUAUCAAAACGAUUUUUUUUUUGAACAAAAAACUACAAGAUAUUAGAAAAAGCCUCUUUUGGUCAAAAUGAUCGUAAUGCCAUCCUUAAUAUUCAAAUCUUUAAUUAUUAGAGAGAGCAUUUUUGUCAAAAAUUUAAAAUUUAAAAUUUUAUAUUUUUAAAAAAGUUUAAAAAUUUCUUUUACAUUUAUAAAUAAUUCAACAAAUCCUUAAACUCAUCAAAUCAAGCAAAUCUUUCAUUAUUUUUUUAUUAUCUAUGUUAACUCUUGUGUCUUAUAUCGUAUCUGUUGUUUUACUUUUAUAUAUCAAAAUGGAAAUACUGGUUUGUUUUAGUAUGAUAGAAAUGUUAUUUUAUUUACUAAAUUUCUCUGUUUAUUUUCAUUGUUAGUUGGACAUGUCAUUAUUAGGUAUCUUUAGUACGUUGGUCGUGCUGUGUUUGCUCCAUUAGCGAUUUUCUUGGGUGCUAUGGUGAGAGGAAUGAAAUCCCUAUGCUGAAGACUACUCAUCCUCGGUCACGCUGCUAUGGUGAGAGGAAUGAAAUCCCUAUGCUGAAGACGCUGCUAUGGUGAGGUCACGCUGCUAUGGUGAGAGGAAGACGCUGCUACUGGGACUCGACCGUGACACCUUUGGGGGCCAUAUUUGGUAGGCAUUUGGGUUGACGAAGUUAUGGAGUUGCGGAGUUGAGGCGUUCCGUCAGGUAGGAGUUGCUGUCAAGUCAACGGAGGCAAUUCCCUAGCAAUGGCCCAUGCCAUGACAUGAAAAUAGGUACUGCAUGCGGGGUUUGAAAACGUACCCCUCGGUGAGCACCUUUGUACCCCCGGGGUGCCAAAGGAGUAGAUGCCUCGUAAGGGUAUUAGAGGAGGGGUGGACACUUCGUAAGUGGCCCCGACUCCCCCGUCGACCCAUAGGACAUGGGUCGUCCCUUGGCUAGCGGAGUAGCCAAGCCUAGCGUUCCGUGUAGCCGGUUAAUGGACGGUUGAAGGGACACGGGCCUAGGGUAAUGUCGGAGACGAGAGAGGUCGACGACAUUACGGAGCGGGGAAUACCGGGAGGCUUCCUCCCUAGGAUCGCUUGCACUACCUUAUGCAGGCUUAGAUCUCUGUAGUGGAGCGUACGAGCGGAUGAGGGAUAGUCUAGCGACGGACGGUCCUCCGUAAAGGACAAGGCUCGCGAAGGCAAGUGUGCCGAGUUGGGAUUCGUAGGGCACGGCGCCCAUGAAGGCCAAGGAGGCGGGACUCAAUAGGAACGCUAAAGGGAGGCAUACCGAGGGAGAAUUCGUAAGGUGGGUGGCCUACGAGACUCGAGGGGCAGAACCCAAGGAGGCAAGCGGUAUCGAUAUCCGUAUAGUGAAUCUUGAGAGACUGGACCAAUAGUGUAAGCGGCCAGGCGUGGUCGAGCCAAGGAGGGGCGAGUGGCUAGCGAUGCGGAGCGAGUCCGGUUCGUUUGUAUGGGGCCUUAGGAGGCAAACCUAUGGGAUUCAAGGGCACGGAGCGCCGUGGCAAAGCGAGGGUCGUUGAGACGGUUGAGAAGCACAAUGUGGACUUGUUGGUUCCCUUGUCAGGAGCGAUGGGACACGAGGGCCGCACGGGUCGAAUGCGAAGCACGGAGGUGCGAAGCAUGGACGUGCGGGGUGUCACGCUGAGGUGCUGAUGUUGGGGGCAAACGAGCUUGUGGCGCACACUUGGGUGGCUUUUCGGAGGUAAGCCGUUGGACCGAGCGAGCAGGCCGCGUAGGCGGUAUGGCCAUGGGCGUCGUCAGUCGCAUGAGGCAAGACAUGAAGGAGUUAUGUUCGUGAGUGUCCUUCGUGGCAUGUGAUGUUGCGGAGCCCGGACCUUGACGCGGGUGGCAUGCAGGUCAAGUCGUGGGAGCGGGAUGCGUGGUGAGGUAGAACGCUCGGCUAGACUCAUAGUGGUACAAGUUGGGGGAGAACUUGUAAUGUCCUUGGGCUGGCGACGAAGGCAACAAGGUAUUCGGUGAUAAAGCACUCUCGAGGAGAGAUCGGUUGGCAAAAGGGAAUGCACCUAGCUUGGUGGCCAACCUCGAUAUUGGGGUUGCUCGUUGGGAACUCGUGGAGUUCGACGAGGUUCGAUUACAGGCGAAGGGUCGGACUGUAAGUCUCGCGGAGGAGCAAGCUUUGCAAAAUGCUUGGAUUGGUAUUCCGCUGUUAAGUCUGGGAGACUUGUCCGCGUAAGGGACUCGAGAAGGCUGGCUCGGGUGUGCGACACUUGAGCGCCGCGCGGGGAUUUUUGAGGCAAAAAAGCUAACCCCGUGACAAGUUGGUAUCAGAGCUAUGUUGAGCUCUUUUGGGAUGGAAGUUUGGCCGAAAGGUGCGACCUUGGCGGCGAGGUUGGAGUGAGCAGAGUCACUCUAACGGAAGGACUUGGAGCCGACAAUGCAUCAGGGCAAUACUUCGCUUGUAAGAGAUGCGGAGUUGAGUUGUGAUGGAUAUUGGUGCUACCCACGAAGUCUUUGCGACGAGUAAAGCCGGGUGGUUCAGAAUUGCACUACGCAUGGAUGAGAGUCAGAUAACAGCGAGGGAAGUGUCUGUUGGUGUGGACUCGUGGUGGGGUGAAAGCUAAGUUCAUGUCGAUACCCUGUGAAGAUUUCCAAGUCAUUCUCAGGAUGGAGAAAUGGUUAAGGCCUUAGUCGUGUGGCAGACGAUGGGGCAAUGAUUAUGAAGAAUCUGUUUGCGGUCCGUGGUUGGAGUUAUCGCGGAGUUGGAUAUUGCGAAUGCCCAAGGAACCUGAGUUGUGCAGAGGUGCUUACGACUCAGGGUGGGGGAGUACACAAGGUGGAGAUGUAUUCCCAAAUGUGAAUCCUGGACGAUUGUGCUUCUCGAAAGGAUAUAGAUUAGGCGGUGAAACACUGGGCGAAAGAGUUUACUUCGUGCAUGCUGAGUUUGAAGUCUGACGGGCAGUAGUCUUCGUUGGGAGCAGCUUCGACCAAAGUUGCAGGAAUACCAAAGGGCUACUCGAUGGACCAGUAUUUCUCUCUUGGUAAAGGAAGAUCGAUGGGGAGAUCGAUGACUCUUUGGAGUGUGCCCAUGAUAUGGAAAGAGAAGGCAUCCUUGUGCAAGAGUAAGGAUUGAGGUUGGAAUCUUAACUCGCGGAGUGAGGUGAUAGGGCUAGCUUCGAGCAGAACGGUGACAGUGUUGGUGACUCGAGGUAGCUCACAUGUAUCCAUUGGAUGGAUGACAUGGGUUCCGCUUGAGGGAAUAGUGAAGGUUGUGGCAGAGCCGAAGCUAGCAGAGCGGAAUGUGGGGCAUUGAGAAUGCCGAUGGGGUCUGAGUGCGCUUGGUGGGAGAGCGACUCAGAGUGGGGGAGCACGUUUGGUCAUUAAGUGUUCCCAUGUGCAUUGCCUCGGUGAAGGAGCUCGUCUAUGAUAGGAAGUGGGAUACAACACAUGUGGUAAAAGAGUUCGCUUCGUGGAGCUCAAGUUGGGAGUCUAGGCAGACGAAUCCAUGGUAGUAACAGCUAGGCGUUGGACUAGGUUGUGAAGGGGACCAAGGAUUGCGGGAGAGCUUAGCACUUCUCUUGGUGCGAGAAGGCCGGUGUGGAGAUCGGUUGCUCUUUACAAUGUGCCCACGAGUUGGACAGAUGAGGCAUCAUUAGUCGGGUUGAAGUGUGUGUGGAUUCACCCGAGAUCAUGGUGCUGGUUGGAGUAUGGACAGUUCGCAACUGCGGGAAGGGUCGAGGUAUCGAAGUUCUGUAAGGGCGGUGCGCCCAGGGUAGCGACAUUACCGUGACAGCCAGACUUGCAGUUCAGACUAAGCAGAGAGUGAACUGAAUUCCGUUCAGCAAUCAAUCAUGAGGGUGGUUUCCCUAGAGUUGGGAUAUGGCAAGUUGCGAGCGAAAAGAGACAAGGUGUUCGAUAGGCUCAAACUUGGUCAAACACUUUGAUUGCGAAUCGAAGUGGAGUUCUGCGAGAGCCUAACGAAGUAAGGCUUGAGUGGAUUUGUGGGACGAAAGCUAAAGGUGCCGUGCAUCAACAAGUAGUCGAAAUGCAAAGCAGUCAGGAGGCAUGACAAAGGUGCGUGGUGAAGUCAGUAGAGCAGGAAGUAGUUGAGGCCGGCUAGUCCCGACGAAAGACUUGAAAGCUUGAGGAGACCAUAGGGGAGCUCGACGUUGUGCGAUUGUGGAGGCAUUAGGGUGGCAAAAGUUGUUUGUGGAGAGGGCACGAGUAUGGCAUGAGUACCCACAAGAGUUGUACCGAUAAAAUUCAAUAAGACAAACUUUAAUGCAAUGGAAGCGGGAGUUCAAGUGGAGGAACUCGCCACAUAUGGGGACGGGAGUUCGAGUAGAGGAACUCGCCGUAUGUGCGAGCGGGAGUUCGAGUGGAGGGACUCGCCACAGAUGAGAUCGGGAGUCGAGUGGAAAGACUCGCCGUAUAAGACUGGGAACGUCGGAUCGAGGAUCUGUCGUAGGUGCCUAGGGAGAGGCAUGAAAUCUGAUGUUAUGGUAAGGGGCAAAGGCGAAGACGAGCAGCGUGCUGAUUCGCGUGGAGAACUCCAAGACGAGGGACGUUUGGAGUCUAACCCCUAAGUCCAAGGUCGAUGGAUGUAUGACCUUGAAUCCCAGAGAGGGGAAGUUUAGUCGGAGGACUAUUUCCUUGAGAAGGAGUUAUAAGGUUGGCUACUGGACUCGUGGAACUUUGGUUAAGUCAGGACGAAGUGGGCGUUGAGGCCGAGUAGCUCCGAUGGAGAGAACCAAGUUAAGGAAGAGUGCCAGUACAAUCUUGCAAUCCGAGGGAUUANCCUGAUGUUAUGGUGAGGGGCAAAGGCGAAGACGAGCAGCGUGCUGAUUCGCGUGGGGAACUCCAAGACGAGGGACGUUUGGAGUCUAACCCCUAAGUCCAAGGUCGAGGGAUAUAUGACCCUGAAUUCCAGAGGGGAAGUUUAGUUGGAGGACUAUUUCCUUGAGAAGGAGUUAUAAGGUUGGCUACUGGACUCGUGGAACUUUGGUUAAGUCAGGGCGAAGUGGGCGUUAAGGCCGAGUAGCUCCGAUGGAGAGAACCAAGUUAUGGAGGAGUGCCAGUACAAUCUUGCAAUCUGAGGGAUUAUGAGUUUUAAGUUCUGGUUUCGUGGAGGAGUUAGUGUGGUGCGAGCGAGGCACCAAGGCUGGGGAGCUCUAACUCAGGGAGGGACAGAACACGUAUAUGGAGUGGAUGGUCGAGGAGGACCAAUGGGCUUUUCAGAAGCAUUGUUGAGCAGACGAACUCAAGGGCAGGUCAGCGUGGCAUGCGAUGCCAAGGCCAUGGGUGGCUCUGGUCUGGAAGAGUAGUACUGCUGGCAAAAGAGUUUGAAGAAGUGGUGGAGCAUCGACGAGGACGUCGAUGAUUCAAGUGGGGGAGCCUGUCACGGGUCGAUCGCUGGGACUCGAUCGUGACACCUUUUUGGGCCAUAUUUGAUAGGCAUUUGGGUUGACGAAGUUAUAGAAUUGCGGAGUUGAGGCGUUCCGUCAGGUAGGAGUCGCUGUCAAGUCAACGGAGGCAAUUCCCUAGCAAUGGCCCGUGCCAUGACAUGGAAAUAGGUGCCGCAAGCGGGGUUUGAAAUCCCUAUGCUGAAGACGCUGCUAUGGUGAGGUCACGCUGCUAUGGUGAGAGGAACUAUGGUUCUCAGGUGGUAUGGUGAGAGAAAUGAAAUCCCUAUGCUGAAGACUACUCAUCCUCGGUCACCACCAUAACCGACGGCACCGCUGUAACGACCCAGCCCACUAGCAACAAUAACUCGUUGGGCCCAAUCACUGGCCCAAAAUGCUUAAGCCCAGUUAUUAUUACUAGUGUCUAAAUCUAUUAUAAACCUAAUGACAACCCCAUUUCUAUCCGAUGUGGGAUUAUUGGGGUGUCACAGACUCCCUCCGUUAAGGCCCUGACGUCCUCGUCAGUCCAAUCACACACACAGCCCAAGAUCACCAGGCGAUGUGAGACUCGUCUCGCUAGCCCGUCAUCCAGACCCUGGCUCAGCCGAGACUCGCCACACAUGUCCAGCUGGUGAACCGGCUCUAAUACCAAAUGUAACGACCCGACCCGCUAGCAACAAUAACUCGUUGGGCCCAAACCACCGGCCCAAAAUGCUUAAUCCCGGUUAAGAAUUUAACCCUAUUAUAUCUUAUAUAUAGGACUAUCUGGGGUCUCACAACCGCCUUCUCCAGUUCUUCGCUCCUCCUCAAUCUUUCAGGUAAUUUAAUUACUUUCUUUGAUAUCUGCAUCCUAUAAUGUCAAUACGUUAGGGACAUAUAUCCUACUGAUAUACGAACAUAACAUAAAAAAAUGGUAAAUAUACUAACAAAACUUAUUACAAGAUUGGAUCAUCGAUCUUACAAAUUGAUACAUGAGUCCUAAUUACUAUAACAUAAAAAGAAGAUGACUAAAGGGAUUAGAGUGCUACCAUUAUUUUGGUACACUGUUUACUAAAGCAAAGGCCAUGCCUAAAUGCUUUGAUAGGUUCAUCACUCCCAGAAUGUAAUAAAUCAUUCAUCGAUCUUUAAAAGGUUAGUAUUACUAAAUUAGUAUUAUAAUUUAAAAGUUAUUCUACAAAAACUAAAAAUGUAAAAAUAAUAUAUUUAAAUUGCUAAAUACCAAGCUAAAAGUCUGAUUUAUGUACAUUAUUUAUUUAUAUUUGAAUUAUGUCGAGCAAAACAUGAGCAAUUAAGUUAAUUUGGGUUACCUCUUGUUCAGCUUGUUUAUUUUUCAAGUUGAAAAUGUGAUCUUAUGAUAGCUUGUUUAUUAAACAAGCGAGAUGCAUCGGAAUCAAUUUUGGGCCGAACAUAAGCUAGUGUUGAGUUGCGAACUAUAUGUUGAAUUGAUAGCCUGGUUGAUCAGAACGCUUGAUACUUGGCUGUAGUAUCCACUGUGGAUGGUUGGUAAUAUACUACUGUUGUAAUGUAUACAUGUAGUAGAAGAAUCUGGUUUAAAACCUCUAAUUAAAUUUGCAUAAGAUUAACAUAUAUAAUUAUUAUUUUGUUCCACAUGUUUGCACACAUAUUCAUGCUAAUUUAGCUAUUUGUUCCAUAUAUUUGCCCACAUAUUGUUUACCAUUUGUUUGAUAGGCUACCUAAAUAUGAAAAUUAAUUAUUUGCUAUUUACUCCUUGUUAAUGUUAGUUUCGUUAGAUUCACAUUAAAUUUUAUAUUGUUCUGGUAUAAUUCAACAAUAAAAUUUCAAGUUUGAUAAUAUUUAAAAAAUAUUACAUGAUAUGUAUGGAAAUAAAAUGUGGUUGAUUUGAAGUUGAGUGAAAACAAUGAUCUCGUUCUUAAAAAAUAAUAUAUUGUAAGAAUUAGAGCAAAUGAAAUAGCAAAAACAAUAAAAGUUUGAUUGGAAAGUAAUCUUUAGGAGAUGGACGGUUAUUUUAUAUUAUUUUAUAUAAUAUCAAAAUAGCACAUACGGCGAUACAUAAUUAAUUUCAAGCUUUUCAUAUUCUUAUAUAGGUAGGAUAUGAAAAGUAUAUUUUUCUUUUUUAAAAUUUGCUAUUUUUUUCCUUACUCUUCAUUCAAAUUAAAAUUAUCAAAAUAUACAAUUUUAUAUAAGGUAAAUUGCAUUGUUACCUUCUGAACUUUUGGUGAAGUUUCACUUUACCCCUCGAACUUCUAAAAUGGACAUCUAACACCCUAAACUCUAAUAUUUCAUUCAUUUUACCCCUUCCGUCAGUUUUCCGUCAAGCUCCAUUAACCGAAAACUAACUGAACGUGUAAAACAAAUGAAAUAUUAGAGUUUAGAGUGUCAGAUAUCUAUUUUAGAAGUUUGGGGGGUUAAGUGAAACUCGCCAAAAGUUCAGGAGAUAGCAGUGCAAUUUACCCCAAAGGGACACUCUUGACUAUAAAUUAUUUUAUUAUAAUAUGUUACUUAUGAAUUGACUACUAAUUCUCAAGUUAGUGAUCAUGCUUGAUUUUGAAUAUAUAUAUAUAUAUAUAUAUAUUAUCCUAAAAUAAAUCAUACCGUAAUUUAUCCUAUAUUUUAUUGUAAUAAAAUAAAAGCAAAAGAAAUGAAUUAGAGUGGCUUAAAGAUAAAAAAUGAGCGAUACUAACUACCUACGAUGCUCAAACACUCUACUAUCCUGGUGUACUCGCUAAUAUAGUUGAUUUAUAAUAGGUGUCCUCACUCGGAUAUAGAGAUUUUAAUUCUCAGUUAAUUUUCUGUAGUACUCGUUUGUCCCUUUUAUCUUUAGAGGUAUUGUUCUAGAAAAUACACUUAUUUUCUAUGAAACUAUGCAAUGUAAUUUUAUUGUAGUCUAAAAUAAAAUUUGUCUUUCAUUUCAGCCAAUUAGAAAUUUUUAAUAUAAAAAUAUAAAAUAAUAAUUUAUAAUAAAUUAAAAUUUUAAAAAUUAAAUUAGUGAUGUUAGAUUAAGAUAUACUGAAUAUCAUCUCAUUCUUCAAAUAUCGGUAGCGGUCCAAUCCAUUUGCUUUUUUUUAAAAUUAUUUUGUAAUAUUUUUCUUCUUGGAACUCUCACUUUGAAAUUUUUAAAAAUAAAUUAGUGAUGUUAGAUUAAGAUAUGCUGAAUAUCAUCUCAUUCUUCAAAUAUUGGUCCAAUCUAUUUGCUUUUUUUUAUUUUUUAAUAUUGUUUUUCUUGGAACUCUCACUUGUCAAAGGGGUAAAUUGCACUGCUACCUCCUGAACUUUUGACGAGUUUCACUUAACCCCCCAACUUCUAAAAUAGACAUCUAACACCCUAAACUCUAAUAUUUCAUUUAUUUUACCCCUUCCGUCAGUUUCCAGUUAACGGAGCUUGACGGAAAACUGACGAAAGGGGUAAAAUGAAUGAAAUAGUAGAGUUUAAAGUGUUAGAUGUCCAUUUUAGGAGUUCGAGGGGUAAAGUAAAACUUUUUCAAAAGUUCAGGGGGUAACAAUGCAAUUUAUCCAUUUUAUAUAUUCUCUUGAAAAUAUUUUUAGAGAAUAAUUGUACUUUUUUUUCAUAGGAGAAAAAUAUGGCAACCUUCAAGAUGAUGGUGGAGAGGUUGUUCACGAUCGGUCUUGCAUUAUUAUGAGGGGUGACAGUCUUUGAUUUUGGAAUUUCAAUCCUCUUAGUUCAGUUCGUGUCACGCCCCGGGGCCGAUUUUAAAAGCCUUUUUAAAACAGAGUUGCGGAAAACGUGCCAUUUUUUUUUNGAGUGCUUUUGUAAUUAAAUUACACACAAAAACAUCGUCAACUGAGAGUUUAGCUACACUGUAAAAAUCUCAGUCCUUACAUCGUGAGAAAAGCUAGUGAUGGAGUAUGCACUACAGUAAAAACCCACUACACGUACAUGUAUCUUGCGGCAUUCUUUGUAGUUCCUAACAAUGUGUUGCUGAUUGCGACCACGAUGACCAUCAAGAUCAAAAUCACAUCCCAUAAACAUAUAAGGGACCAUCCAAGAAGGCUCCUCUUGCUCUUCAUAGCUGUAUUUGCUAUUAUCCUUUAUAGUAUUUGUGUUGUUUCUUUUAUUGUAUCUAUUAUUUUGCUUUUACAUAUCACGACGAAAAAACUGAUUUGUUUUGGUAUGAUAGAGAUAUUAGUUUAUUUAUCAGGUUUAUCUGUUGUUUUUUCAGUGUUAGCUAGACAUGCCAUUUAUUGGAUACGUCUAGCAUGUUAUUAUUAUUAGAUAUCAGUUAUUGUAAAUAAAUUAUAUAUACUAUGAAGAUGGAUCAGUUGAAGUAUUAAAUGUUGUUUGUGGAUAAAUAUUUGGGCCACUUAUUUGCAAUUUGGUACUUUGAAUGAAUCUAUUUCUUAUAUUCAUUCAAUGAUUUGAAUGUAAUACAUUUUCAAUGAAUAUGCAUUACAAUCCCUGCAAAUAUUAAAUAUUUUGGUAAAAAUAUUUAAAAGCCUAUCCAUCCAUCUACACAUCAUUUUCAGUUAUUCCUUCUUUUUUAAAUUAAAAGAGCAUCAUUCUUUCAUGUUUAAUUAAAAGAGCAUCUUGUAGUUUAAGGCAUAUAAUAGCUAAAAAAAAAUGAUGGUUUUCAAAAUUAUAUAUGGCGUAGUAGUUAUUCUAGAAAAGGAUGGUUUUCAAAAUUAUAUAUAGCGUAGUAGUUAUUACUAGAGUAUUGGAUUACAAAAAUAUUAUUUAAUAGAAUUUCAGUUAUAAAAAUAUUUUUUUUUCUAUAUUUACAAAUAGUUUGAGAAUAGCGUGUUUUCAUAAGGAUAAACUUUACGGGUGACAACUGAUAGUAUUUAAGUAGGUUAAAAAUAUUUUUCUCCAAAAAAAGUUGUUAAAAAUAGUAAUUCUACUUUAUUCUCAGAGAUAAAAAAUUUAGUUCAAUACUAGUUUCAAUCGUUUGUUAAGACAUACGAUAAAUUUUUGAAUAAUUCAUAAAUGAGAUAAGAAAAGAGACUAAAUAAUAACCCCACAUCGUCACUAGCAAAAUCCAAAGGAAAGCACUACAAGAGAAUUAAGUUAUAGCUUCAUAUUUUUGGAACACUUUUGUAUAAAUGUUCGUCCAAAAUUUUUUUAAAAAAAUAUACCUACUAAAGCCCAAAUAUAAGGCCCAGCCCACUUAAAAAUAUAUUAACCUGCUUGACCCAACCACCCAACCUAAUCAGCCCAAAGAAAAAACCGAUCUCUACCUCGUCUCCCCUCUCUCCGACCCCUAAAACCGUAGACGUAGAUCCCCUCGCUCUCCUCCUCCGCCGCCGCCGUCGCAGCCGAUGAGGGAGGGAUCCGGCGGCCAGAGUUCAGCUGUGAGGAUCGCACGGAAACCGUAAAGGUCUAUGAUCGUCAUGUAUCCCUCCGCCACAAGUCGCCGGAGGAGUGGGCGCCAAACGUCGAGGCGGCGGCGGGCAGGAGGAGUCCGGCGUCCGCCUCCUGGCUGUGCUCGCGGUGGCGCUGAAGGUGCAAAAGGAGGAGAUGAAGAAGAAGGUGAGAUCGAUCAGUGCUAGGGUUUCUUGUUCAUGAGGAUUUAGGGUUAAUCUCUUGUGAGAAUCCCUUUGUGCGUGAAUCGCUUUGCUUGGUAUCGUAUAAAUUAAGGCUUAUAGAUGAUCUUUGAUUAAGCUUUUGGAAUUGCUCUAGUGCUUGUUUAAUUUACACAGUCCUCUUUAAGCUCUUAGCCAUUGUUAUAAUGGCAUUACGUUGAGAACCUUGAUUGGGGAUUUGUUGAAAUUAACAGCCCUGUUAAAAAAAAGCGUUUAAAACAGUCAAAAUUUAAUAGAAUCACUCUUAAAUUUAACAGCUGUUUGUGAUGUCUUCUAGAAUAUGUAUUAGCGCGAUUCAUAACAAAAAGGGAACCUGGCAUUGCUCUAGUGAUGCAAGUUCAGAGGAAAGGUAAGCUUAUCAAGUACCAGUCAAUAGCUGUUUUAACUGUUAGUUGUCUGACAAUAUUUAGAGAUAAUAUAUCUGAGAAUUGACAAUUUUAUCAGUCGAUGUCUUACAGCAGCCUCUUGUUAUUAGGCAUGUUUUGAUCACUAUAUCUUUAUGUAUGAUACAUAGUCAUCAUAAUUUUAUUUCUCUCAUUCUUGUGCACUGUGGCUCAGUUUCUUGUGGACUGUUCAGGUUUUUCUAAUGUAUUGUGCAAUGAUUGAGCCAAAUAUAUCAAGUAUGAUCCGUUGUUUCUCAUUUAUACUUCUACUUUAUUACUUGACCUGGAAAAUAUUUUUAACAUUAAUCAUUCUAAGAAUUUAAUUCUAGCUAGAGUGAAUGGUAGUCAUAUCUUUUACUCUUUAUUCCUUGAUCUGUUUUUGUCACAACUGCACCCUAAUUAUAGUAAACAGAGGAAAUGUCAAAGCUAGAUGUUGGCAGUAUGUUUCAAUUUGCAUUGUAGCGUUUUGACUUCUGUUAAGUGUUAAAAUCUAUGAUUCAAAUUUAAAUGCUUUACAGAUGGGAAGUUAGUUCUUGUGCGAUGGACUCUCUGUACGAUCUAAACCUCAUAUCAAAAGUAGUUCCAAUGUUUUUGGACAACUCCAAGGUGUGGCACUAAAUACUGUCAACAAGUAUGAAACUAGAAAAGAGAGGGGUGGCUCACGUGGAAGGAGUCAGCAGAUUUGAUCUCAAAGAAAAUAGCAUGUACUCAAAUGUACUCCUAAUAAAUCACACUGCAAGUCCUCUGGCAUGGUAAAAUUUAUUGUUAUUAUUUCAUUAAUAACCUUUCAUUCUUUCUACUUGUCAGAUUUAAUAUCUAGGAUGCAUUUCUUUUGCUCGUAAAUAUCAAAAUCGAUGAAAUAUGGACAAAUUUGCUAGGUGAAUGUUUGUAACAUCAAGUGCUAGUCUUGAUCAUGAUAACCAUCCAGUUUUAUGGAGUGCAAGGAUAGAGCCAAUCACAGCUCUGUUUUGCUGCCACACUCCUUUGCCAACCAAAGCAGCUGAAAGAGUGCAAAAUGUGGCAGAUAAAGUAUGUCUUCUUCAGCUUUUUCUUUUUUUCCCCCUUUAAUUUCAUGCCUGUUGAAAGUGUGACUUUCUCUCUUGUCCUGGAAUAUAUGCGGAUUAUUCUUCCAGCUGUUGUCAGUUGUUUCUUGUUUUUGAUUUGGAACUUUUGAUUAUCCAGCUCUUCCAAUUUUCAUGAUAGACAGGAUGUACACUUCUGUCAUGAUAAAUAAGAUGUACUCCCAUCGGAUUUCUUCUAUAAUCCGCAUCUUUCAAAUGUCAAACAACCUCUUUACAUUUUAAGCCCUAUCAUCCAACUAGAGUUGUUGUUUCAAUUGCUUUCUUGAGUAGUCAAUGCUAGGUGAUCUUGGUCGAUUUUAAUAGGCACUUGAUUUGGGUGAUCUUGGUCUCUCUUUCCAUCUACCUUUCCAUGAGUAGGAAUCUUAUUUGUUUCCUAUCGAAUUGGCACACAAAAAAUGAGCUAAAUAAUUUAACUUGCUAUCAGCAUUAAGCUGUUCCUGAUCUCAUCUAUUUGAGGAAAAGAAGCUUGUAUUAGCACUUGAGCUACAUCCGUAUAAUCCGAAUAAUUAAUUAGAGUAACUUGCUCACAGUAUAAAACCUGUAACUUGCCUGUUAGUUCGUUCAACAUAGACAUGUAGUAUUGGUAAUAACAUGCAGCACAGUUACUCUUUUAGGCACUUGAUUUGGCAUAUAGGCCUAGAUUUUUAAACCCAUGUUGAUAACUAAGUCAAGUUGCGGGCCUUAGUUAAGCAACUCCUACACAGCUUACGAACUGACUGAAUUAGGCUUGUCUUAAAGUUAUGCGGUAUAAUUAAGAGGUUUGAGUGACCAUAACAUGCUUAGUGUUAUAGUUUAUAUUGUUUGCGUAUUUAUGCGUACAUGGUCAUGUUAUUCGUGCAAAAUGCUCUUUUUGUGUCUGGUUCGUAAAUAUUAAUGUUAACUUUCACCUACUGAAGCACGACAGAGUUCUACAAAUGGCCUUUCUUUUUUGAUGCAAUUACUUUGAUUUUCGUUCAUAUAUAUAUAUAUAUAUAUAUAACUAGGCUGGAAUACUAUUAAUAGCACCAAGCUAUUGGUGCUAUUAGUUUUUUAGCCACGGGAUUGAGAAAUUUGUGGUUAGGAUGAUGUGGGCCCCCUAGGGUUGAGUGGGUGGUUGGUUGAUAGUAUAAUGUAACGGGUAAAAAUAAUUAAAGGGUUAAAUCUAACGGUGAAAAACUCGAUAGCACCAAGCUCUUGGUGCUAUUGAUAGUAUCCAAGUCCCGACUCUAUAUAUAUAUAUAUAUAUAUAUAUAUACUAUACAUAUAUAUAUAUAAUAUAAUAUAUAUAAUAGCUAGGUUGGUAUACUAUCGGUAGCACGAAGGCCUCCGUGCUACCAAGUUAUUUUCAAUGAUACCGCUUCUAAAUCGACGAUCGGCUCUGUUAGACUUGAUCUACACUAUUGAAAGUAUUUGGAAACUAAAUUUCAUACUUUUUCGGUAUCAUUUACCUAUCAAACAAGUAGUCUAAAAAUGAACGGCUGAAAAUAAAAAUCUCAUAAAAAAUAAUGAUAGAAGACUUGAAUUUAAGAUCAGAGAUACUGAUCUUACUCUAAAUAGUAAAAAGAAUUUUCUAUAAAAAUUUUAUCAGAUUUGCAUUAUUUUACAUCGUUAAAUUUACAAAUGCAUCACAUCUACCAUUAAGUCAAUUUUGAGACCUUUUGAUUACUAGCCAAAUGAUGUCGAAAAAUUAUGAAAUUUAGUUUCCAAAUAUUUUUAAUAGUGUAGAUCAAGUCUAACACAGCCGAUUGUCGAUUUGGAAGCCGCAUCAUUGAAAACAACUUGGUUGCACGGAAGCCUUCAUGCUACCAAUAGUAUACCAGCCUAGCUCUAUAUAUAUAAUAUAUUAUAGAAUAUAUAUAUAGGAGUAGGACACUGUGCUAUUAGGAGCACAGCAGUCUUGUGCUCAAAGUUUAACGCACAGCAGCCCUUGCCCACUCUUUGUUUAUACUUAUGGUUAUCCUUUUAAAUUCUUUUUAAGAAAUUUCUUCUUCUUUUUUUACCCUGUAUUUUUCUACAUUUUUCAUUCUUUUUACUCUACUAUCUCCUACUCCCUUGUUUUUCUUCUAUAUAUAUAUAUUAUAUGAUAUAUAUUAUAUGUAUAUGUAUAUAUAUAUAUGUAUAUGUAUAUAUAUAUAUGUGUAUAUAUAUAUAUAUAUAUAUAUAUUAUAUAUGUAUAUGUAUAUAUAUAUAUGUAUAUAUAUAUAUGUAUAUGAUAUAUAUAUAUAUGUAUAUGUAUAUAUAUGUAUAUAUAUAUAUAUAUAAUAUGUAUAUAUAUAUAUAUAUAUAUAUAUAUAUAUUAAGUCGCGCUAGGUAUGCUUAUGGAAGUACGGAGCCUCCGUGCUUCCACUUUGUUUUCGAUGUUCGGACUUUCGAAUCGACGAUCGGCUCCGUUAGACUUUAUCUAGAAUAUUUGAAGUAUCUAGAAAAUAAAUUUGCGAUUUUUCGAUAUCGUGCUAUGCAUCGAUGUGUCGCUAAAAUUCAACGGCUGAAAAUAAAAAUCUUACAAAAUAUGAUGAUAUGACAUUAAAAUUUUAGAUCAAAGUUAUUGAUCUUGUUUUAUAUGGUAUAAAGAAGUUUCUAUCAAAAUUUCAUGUGAUUUGGAUAUUUCUACACCGUUAAACUUGCAACCGGCUCACCACGGCCGUUAAAAUUAUUGAUUUUGAGCCCCUUCGAUCACUAGGCAAAUGAUAUCGAAAAAUCGCAAAAUUUAUUUUCUAGGUACUUCAAAUACUCUAGAUCAACUCUAACGGAGCCGAUCGUCGAUUCGAAAGUCCGAACAUUGAAAACAAUUUGGAAGCACGGAGGCCUCCGUGCUUCCAUAAGCAGACCAGCACAACUCUAUAUAUAUAUAUAUAUAUAUAUACCAAAAUGCAUAUGUUUCUAUAUGUAUAAAGAGAAACAAAGAAGGUACCAGGAUUGUUUCCAUAUGUAUAUGUUAGGAGGUGAACUCCUAUCUGACCCUCUACUAUGUAUUUGAUAUUGUACUUUCUUCAUCACUACCGUGUGAACUUAAGGUUGCUAUCUUAUGGGUUUUUCUAUGAUAUUCUUUUGUUUUCUUUAUUGUACUAUUCUUCCUUUCAUUCUCUUCAAUUCUUUUUUUACUAUAUAUGUGGCGAAAUACUGGUGGUGUAUAUAUUCUUUACCUAUUCUAUAACUGUUCAAAGUCAAGAUGAUAGGAGUAAACAAAAAGAUCCAAAAUGUAUAGUUUGCUACUCUGCUUUUACUUCUCUCCUAUUUUUUUCAUAUUCUUAAGCUGACUUUCUCCAAAAAAUAAUGAUCUAUUAGGCAUAUCUCUCCUCUUACUUGCCUUUUCUCCUAAGCUUUUCCUGUAUCCUUUACACACAAUUAUGUAUAUUUUUUAUUAUAUUUGGGAGGGCAAAAUGUGGAGAGGAGGAGGCGAAGCAAUGGAAUCACGGGCGAUCGACACGUAUCCGAUACCAAAGUCUCGAUUCAUGUCUUGCUAUUUUAUCGAUUGAUUAUUGAUUUGCUCAUUCUUUAGACACUGUUUGCCUUAGUUUUUUAAAUUACAGCUUCUUUGAAUUUCUCUAUUCGUGAUGACUACGGACUGAUUGUUUCUCACCCUGUUUGGUGUUUAGGAUUUGGUCUGUAUACAAUGCUGAAAUUACUGCUUUCUACUCCGCAUUUUCUAAGAUGAUGGCAAGAGAGGUUUAAACAAAAAGCUUGCUGCUACGGGAAUACUACUAUAUUUUCCUACCUUUGUUGUUGCCAGGUCUUGCCUUUUCAUUUGCACACUUUGUCUUCCUGCCCUUAUCAAUUCUUUUCCUACUCUCUUUGCAACUACACAGACGAUGAUGGGAAUAGCAAUAAAAAUGAUAAAAAAAACAUAGUACUUUCAUUCCAGUUUCAACUGUAGAUUAUUCUAUACUUUGGUUUGUUGACAAAUAUUUAACGGACAGGCCAAUGCAAAAACACAAGCAUGUAUGCUGUCAUUUCUUCUUUUUUUUUUCUGUACUGUUUCUUUCGCCGCCUUACUUGACUGUUUCUUUUGCUGCCUUACUUGAUGGAGAUGCAUGGUGGAAAAACAUCAUUGCUCCCUUCCUUUUGCCUUAUUUGCUUAUGAACUGAUAAGAAUAUUUGCCUAGCACUCUCCGUGGCGACAAAAAUAUGUGAUGGUGAUCACCUACCUGAGUCUCUGAGCUCCUAUCUAGCUCUGCAUUGUUUUAUGGGUUUGUGAGUGAAUCUCUGAUGUAGACGACUAUAUAUCGUGGUGAAAGGGAAGCCAAGGGGUUGGCGGUGCAAAAUAAAAGCACAUAUGCUAUUUAAAACUUCCAACCGAUGUUUUCUUAUACAUUAUUAUUUCGGCGGCUUUCUUCUGUUCCUCUAGCGGUGCUUUUUGUUUUUUUUUUUUAUAUAACAUCUCUUUAUAUUGAUUCUUCCUGAAUUUCAUUCUUGCUACUCUAUUUGCUAUGAAUAGAGUAUACAUUGGAUUUUUUCUAAUUUGGUUGCAUGUGAGGUUUGUUUGGAACUUCACAAUGAAACUUUAUAUGGCAAAAGACUAUUCGUGCCUUUUAUUGAAUUUCGUCGAUUUUGGGGGUGUUGCUGCUGCAAUGUUUUACAGAGUUUAUCUUUCGGUGUCGCUUUUCCCUUCUCUUUUUUAUCAUGUCUUCUCCUGUUAUUUUUACCUACUUUCUGUCUCUUGCUAACUAUAUUGUACUCAGAUAAAUACAAAUCCUGUUGGUAUUUGCGUUGGCAAUUCUAUUAAUUUUAACACUUUUGACGGUUGGAUUUAAUUGUAAUGAAAUCUAGAGACUAGGGACUUGGUUGCAAAAAAAAGUCAGUAAUCAAAUUUGAAAAAUAGUGCAAAGGUUGAGGACCAAUGUUGUAAUUAACCCUACUACUAUAUGCUAACUAGAAUAGUCGACAAUAGAAUAUAAGUAAUUUCUACCGAUGGUACUAUGAUAUACCAUGCGGGUUAUUAAAAAAAAGAACAAUUGUGUAGUUUGUGAAUCAUUUUGUGGGGGCAAUUUUACAAAAAGAAUAAGUAAUAUAUAUAGGAAUCACAGUUCAUUUCUUUUCUUUUUUUUUUACCCGGUUUUCUUUGUUCGUCUCUCUGCUCAUUAUGAAUGUAACGUUUUUUUUUCUAUUGUUUGCAUUUGAGCUUAGCUUAGAAUUGAAUGAUUAAAUUAUGCAUGCAGCAAGUUGUUGUGCAAAUAAAAGUCAGAUAAUAUCCCAAAUUUAUUGGUGCAUAAUAAUAAGAGUAGUGAUGUCAACGGAUCGGGUUUGGAUCGGAUUUUCAAAAAUCCGAACCCAAACCUGAAAACCAAAUUAAAACCCGAACAUAGACCCGAACAUUGCGAGUUUUAAAAAUUCAUACCUAUAUCCGUAUCCCACCAAAAAUUCGAAAUCCGAACCCGAACCCAAACUCUGCAGGUUUUAAAAAUCCAUACCGUUGGAUGAAAGGGAUAAAAAAUUACUAAAUAUUUAUAUUAUAUAUAUGAAUAAAAAUAAAUUAUGUAUAUAUAUAAUUUAUUUGGGUCGAGUUCGGGUUCGGGUCGGGUAAAUACAAAAUCCAUACCCGUAUCCAUUUCCGUCGGAUUUAAUUUUCUAUACUUAUAACCGAAUUCAUACCCGUUUAGCUCGGGUAAAUCCGCCCCGUUCGGGUUCGGGUUCGGAUAAUAUUUGGGGCAUCCAUACCCAUUGACAUCCCUAAAUAAGAGAACCCAUAAGGUUUAUGAGGGUUGUAAACAAUUAGAAUGUGAAAUUAUUUCUGUUUACUGAAAUAGUAACAAAUCUACCCAUUUUGAUUGAUAAUAAGGAAGUAGUUUAGUUGAUUACAUGGUAAUUUCUUAGUAGGUGUUUGCAGUGGAUAACAUCUCAGUAUAUCAAACUUGCGAGAUCUAUCAUCAUAUUCUUUUGUUGGGAUUAAAUGGACAUAACGACAGUGCAUAGAGAAAUUAGAAAGAAACGGAAGAUUAUUCUCGAUCACCGAAUAAUAGGCAGGAACUCCUAAUUACCGAGCACAUAAAUAGUGGUGUUCAUGAAGUACCCUGUAACUACAAUAGCGAUUACAGUGGAACAGCUAGCAGAGGUGGUUAUUUUAUAGUAUCUAGGGUGCCAACAGAAAUAAAUGGAGCAGGCACUUCUCGGGUUGCAACUCAACGUGUUGAGCAAUUUUAUUUAGGAUUACCGAAAUAUCACCUCCGCCAACGUAAUUGCGCCGCUGCUGCUGAGGGUGCGAUAGAGGUGAGGGCGACGGCAGUGUGAUUGUUGUGGCGGAGGGCGCAGCAGAGCCACCACACGAGGGACGAGGAGGUUUGGUUUGACGAGGAAUGGGGGAGGGUGAUGGAGUGGGGAAAUUAGGGGUUCGAGGGUGACAUGUCGUCUCCAACACGGUAAGUUCUUAGAUACUCUUGCUCUAAUAUCAUACAGCUAAUUACUCUAAAAAUAUUUAGCUAUUAGAUAAUGAUACUUUACUCUUCAAGCAUGAUUCAUGAAUAUCAGAUGCGACGAAUAAAUUCUCACCAGAGUAAUCUUCUAGCCUUACAUUGUUACUUUUGAUUAGAUAAAUUCUCACCGGUUUUGUAAGUUGAGAAUUAACUCAUCCAACAUAGGUUAACGCUUCAAAUCUUCAAUGUUUGAGUUGCAUAGAGCUCUAUAUAUCAAUCCCUUUGUCUUUUGUAGUUGGAAUCUGCAGAGUGCUUACAUUGAUGGUUGUCCUUAUUCAUCUCAUUGUUUUUCCAUCAACUUUUUUUUUUUUUUGGGUGUCAUCCAUCUUUAGUUCUAAAUUACGUAGGUUUCAUAUUUUAAAUCUUGCUAAUCAUUGUUUUACUACUUUGCAACAUACUUUUUUCUGUAUAAACCCUUUUUGUCUUUCCUUUGAUAUGAAUAUUUCAGUUAUAAUAUAAUUGUAUUUUGUUUGUCAUAUGCUUAUCUUUGUUGGUUGAUUGCUAUGUUUAAGACUAUUAAGUUAUUCAUUUGAAUUCAUGCAUGCCAUUGUAAUUUUUUCUCUUUCUUCAUCUGACAAAUUCAUAAUAGUUUGAGUAAUGCAUUUUGGUAAGCAUUAAUUUCAGUGAUAAUGCCAUGACUUGCUACCGCUCUAUAGGGUACAACUCAAGUAAAUAUUCUUCAAUGUUCUUACUGAGGAUUGAGACACAGUUUGUUGACUUAAACUAACAGAAGGAACUAUUGCUGAAUUCCUCCCUCCAAUGUUCUGCUGCCUUUUUGGUUGGUAAUUGUUGUCACUGUUUGUUUCCUGUUUAGCUCGAAGUUGACUGUUUAAAAGGAUAGGUUUAUGCACUUUGGAAAUGAUCAUGUAUUAGGCUUCCACAAUGACUAGGCUUCAGCAAUUAAUUCAAGUUGUUGUCUCGUCGUGGUGUUGUUUUGUGAAAAUUGGGUGCUUAUAUGUGAGUAAAUGGCGUAGAUUAAAAUUUAAAUUUCUUCAACUGUUUGCGUGCACCAAUAGCUGAAAUCUGAAACUUCUACUAUUGCUUCUGCUAUUACUUUUUUUUUUAGCUCUUUAUUAUUGCGAUUAUUUUUCUUAAUCUGCGCCAAAUAAACAAAAUUAGUAUUGUUAUCCAUACUUUUUCCUUUUUUCCUAAAUAGAUUGGGUUGGCUAUCUAAACUGAUUUUUUUAUUUUACUUAAAAUAUUUUUAUAAAAAAAUAUAAUUUCAUUUCAUUCUUUAAUUUAUCUUUAAUUUUUAAUUAUUCAAUAUAAAGAUAAAUAAUAUUUAAAAAUAUUAAUGUAUAAUAAAAAAAAUAAUAAUAUUAAUAAUUUUAAUAAUUUACUGUUAUACUGGCUUUUCGCCGCAUCGCGCGGGGCCGUGCGCCCCUUAACUAGUAAACUAAUAAAAGGCUAUAAUAUGGAUAAUUUAUUCCUUCGCACUUUUAUGUGCAGUGGUUCUCUUUCUAAACGACUUUAUUUGAGGUACGAGUUGGCGUUUGCCUUGGUAGGCAUCAGAUUCCACCAUUUCCAGUUUUUACUAAUGUGUGUACAAAAUAAUAUAUACACGUACAGUACUCUUUUCUAUUGAAACCGCGUAGCAAUUCUUGAACCACACAAUUUAAAUCGUGAUGUGGACACAAUCCGGUAGUGAAAAUAGUAAAAAGUUUUGUCCGAAUACAUGAGCAUCUUAUUUAAUAUAUUCUUUUGAUUUAUCUAAAAAGUAUAUAAUAUUUACUGGAUAAGGUGUGAAACCAAAUGUCUAGACUAAAAUAUCAUAUUCGAUCAUUAAGUCAUUUUUUAAAUAACAUAAAUUAUUUUAUUAAUAAAAUAUAUUUUUCUAUCAAAUAAUAAAUUCAUAAGAAAGUUUUCAAUCCAAAUAAAUUAUUUUGGCAUUCAAAAAAGGCCUUCGAUAACAUUUAUAUUAAAGCCUUUAAUUAGGUCAGUCAAAAAUUACUUGUCAAGUCUUAUAUAUAAAAAACUUAGACAUUUAUUUGUAUACAUGCACACAUAAAUAUGUAAAUACAUAUGUACAUAUCUGUAAUAAUUUUUAUUUGCAUCCAACAGUAAAACGAAGGUAAACAUGUUUAUAAAUGUCGGACUAUGAAUUAUUUUGAUUCUACUGUCUAAUUUUUAAAAUUUCAAUAUUAUUACUUAACUUUUUAUUUAUUUGAUUUGAGCUAGUUGAUAACACUUUUAUCUUAACAUUUGCAUGCCUUAUUUAUCUUUAUUUGCUUGAUUAGCACAUUUUAAUUAUAUAAUUUAUGUGACUAUAAUUUUAUUAAAACAAGUUAUAAACCAAAAUUUUUUAUUGGAAGAACCAUUUAAAUGAAACAAAUUAAAAAGUUAUUAUCAAGAUUUAAAUUUUAAAAGAUUGAAUACUCUUGAUCAAAAUUUACAUGUUUACUUGAAAUAAAAUAUAUUCAUGAACAUUAGUAAUGUCAUAUAUAAUCGUGUCCUCCGUGAUCAAGCCAUUUUUUGAGUUUCGAACAACUCAAUUGAUCGAGUUAACCUAGUUUGACCGAGUUUGACUUCAAAUCUAGGGCAACCGUACGUGUGCCCUUAUCAAAUUUGGUUGAAAUCUAUGCCGAUUUCACGUCGACUCUUAAUGGUCAAAUCGAAAGUGGGAGAGAAACCGCGUAGUAAGCCUAAAAUUGAUAUUAAAUGAUAAUAAUAAUAAAUUCUCAGCUCAUGAUAAAUCACCUUUUAAAGCCAAUAUAUUUGCAAGAAAUCCAUAUUUAUUAAAGUUUCAACCCUAAAGUAACAUCUAUAAAUCUAGCUAGCAAACUCUUUAUUAAUUACAUACUUUUACCACAUAUGUAUUUUCCAAAGUCCACGUACUUCUCAAACAUAUAUAUGUAGCGUAGGAGUAGAAAAUAAGCAUAUUUCACCAUCUCAAUCACUGUGAUAAGGGAAAAGACGUAGAAAAAAGUUUGAGCAUCCGUUUGGUUCGGAAUUAAGGAGUGGAAUAACUUCUUAACCCCGAAAUUAUUUCCAAACACCCAAUUUGGAGGGUGGGGUUAGCUAACCCCACCACAAAUGGGCUAUCUUGGGAUAGCGUAUUUAGGGUGGGGUAGCUAACCCCACUCCACCUCACUACUCCAACCAAACAAAAUAUUAUUUUAUCCACUAUCCUUCUUAUCUCAUCUAUUCAAACUAAACAUUAUUUUACCUAUACCUGGAUUAAACUCAAUUCUCAACCAAACAUAAAAUUACUCUAACCCCUCAAUUCUGAACUUAACUCUAUAUCGGGAAUAACAAGUUUUUACUUAACCCCGAAACAAACGGUGGCUCAGAGUUUAUUCCAAUACCUUUUUUGCGCUUCCCUAUUGCCGGACAUAUAGCUGGUUUCUGCAGAUCUCUUUAAUAGGUACGAGCCCCUCUUCGUGGUUGCCCCUUCCUGGGUAUUGGGUUCGCUGGCGAUCCGAUGUCAUCAGCGCGUGGAAAUCGGUUGUCCGCGGCUUCUCUAAUUGGCUCGUUUGUUGAUGCACGCCUCUCGUGAUCUUGGUUGAUCCUUCCUCGGUUCGCCUGCGAUCCAACAACAUCGACGCUGGGACGAAGUCUAUGAUCUUGGUUCAUCCGUGAUGUGACGUCUGCAUCUUGACCUCCGUUCUUUGCGCUGUCGUCUUUCUUGUGAGCUUUCUUUAUCGGAGUAGAGGAGGGCAUGUAGUCUGCUGCUGUGCUGCUGAUGGGAUAAUCCGGAUCAGCUUUCGCCUCUUGUUUGACCUUUUCACUCUUUUUGUCAGCUUCUUCUCUUGCAGUAUCAAACUUUCCAGGUUCCUGAGGUGAGGGCUUAUUAUCACCUGCUGCGCCUGGUGUUUUCACUCCAUUCAUCGCCGAGCUCGGAGGUCCGUUCAUUGCCGGGCUUGGAAGUUGUCCCGAAGCUGGCGGCACUUGCACGGUGUGGCUGCUUGGCGGCUUGGCCUCCGGUUGGCUGGCAGGAGUUCCAUCAUCAGCGUCAUCACCCCCACAACAGAGGAACUUCAGACACAUACUAGUGUAAUACCUCUCUCUCUCUCUCUCUCUCUCUCUCUACCCAAGUUAAGGGAGUUUUGAGGUUAGUAUUAUGAUAUUAAAGCGUUUAAUUAUGGAUAAGAACGGGUGGCAUAUAUGCACCAUAAUGCUUUGCGUGGAAUCUAAUUCUGCGUUAGCUUCGUCUUAAAGCUGGUAAACCGCGUUGAAAGUCAGUCUCCCAUUAAUGAGAUGCCCUAAUGAUUGAGUCAUAAAGCCAAUGAUUAUUAUUUGAUUACAUAUUUACUCGGUUGGUAGGGCUGUCAAUAAGCUCAUGUUGGCUGUCAAUAAGCUAAACAUGAGCGAGCUGGCCAAACCUAGUACGAGCCAACUCAUUAAAAUAUCGAGUCAAAAAAUUUAAAUGUGUAUAAGCAGUCCGUGGAUUUGAACUCAUAAUCGUUCGUUAAUAAACGAGGUGAACGCGAGUUGACUCACAAAUAACAAGUUAAAAAAGAUUAGAAAAAAAAUAUAUAUAGAAAAUAAACUUCUGAAAUUUUAUCUAUUAAAUUUUGAUCAGACGGUUGAAAUUUUAUAUAUAAUGAAUCUUUUUAUAAUUGAGUUAGGCUUUAUAUCUAGGUUGGACUAAAAAUUAAAUAAUAAAAAUAUGUAUUAUAUAUAUAUAAUAAUUAAGUUAUAUAAAUAUAAAAUAUAUGUAUUUGUGUUGUUACCAACUCGAACACAAGCGAGCUAACUCUAGCUCGUGUUAGGCUCGUUUAUUAAACGAGCUGAAAAAUUCACCUCAUAUUCGGCUUGUUUACUACACGAACGAUUCAUUCUCAAACUCUUUUCGAACAGAACAUGACUUGGCUCGGGAAUAGCGAGCUGAAUUACUACCCCUAACGGUAGGGGUUGGGAAUAAUUAAGAGACAAAAAUUAGGCCGAUUUACCAAAUUAGCUAUUUGAGGAAAAAGUUUAUAAUGCACCUGUUAUGGUGCUGAUAUAGCAUUCUCAAUUAAUCAGAUUGUUUUUCUUAAUUAGUUCAUCCAUUCCAUGAUUAUUAGUAAAAUAUUUUUAUUAUAUUUUUCUCUAAAAAAUUGAUAUGGUAUAAUUAAUUACAUAGUAGACUUCCUCCUAUUUGAAAAUGUGGGAUCGACUUUGAGGUAGAAAUAUAGGGGCAAAUUGGGAAGGCAUUUGAAAUUUAUAUUUUUUAAAAAUUAUUAUCUAAUUCAAAAUAUUUUUUAGACUCAUUAACUCAAAAGUAACAACUUUUAUAAAAAUAAAAAAUAUAUAAUCUUAACUCAAAAUAUAUANNNNNNNNNNNNNNNNNNNNNNNNNCACUCGCCUCUGCCUGCUCAGGCAUCUCGGGAGAUCUAGCACGAUCCUGCGCCAACUGCGCACGCUCCCGCAACGACGGUCGGCCUCGGCGACGAUACAUAGCUGAAAAGAACAAAUCGGGGUCAGAUACAACAAAACACUCUCGACCCAAUCAAACGAAAGUCUAGAAGGCAGCCCCUGUUUCUCCUCGAAAUUAUGUCGUCUGCAGCCAACAUAAUUUCUCAGGCCAAAACAGAAACUCCUUCAGUCACUCACUCUACUCCAAGAGGAAUUAAAACAUAUAAUCAUUGACUUUCGCAAUAAAAUUACGCCUCUCACGUCUUGCUUCCCUAAGGUUUGCCAAACUUAGGUUUCCUAGGUCCCAACGACCUACAGCAAAGCUCUGAUACCAACUUAAUCUGUCACGCCCCGGACUACACGUUCCCCGGCCACGCCGACAAAUCCGCCGUAUACAAAGAAAUUUUCCCUGUAUACGAAGCGAUAGCUGUACCUGUAAAUCAAACACUACUACGAACAGUAGUAGAGAGCUGCUAGAGAAAAACUGAAGCUAAAUAAAACAGAGUUUCAUAUACAUAGUUCAGAUCCAAAAUACAGAGCUACUCGCACUGGCGAGUUAAGUCACUAUGUACAUAAUCUCGAAACCAAACCUCUACCUGCAGUAGGGCACCUCUAGCUCAGCACGUCGGGUAGGGCUCUAACUCGCGACGCCCUUGCCUCGAUCCUGGUCCGCAGUCGGUGCAGCAGCCGGAACCUGUGGCUCUGCAAAAACAUAGGUAACAACUGGGCGUGAGAACUACUGUAAAAACAAGUAGUUCUCAGUGGGUACCGCCCAAAACAACAUCGGUCACCUACUAAGUCUACAGAAGGGAGCAAGGAUAGAAGGAAAGCAGGAAGCAUACUCUACCACUAUCAUCCACUACACUAUCAUGCUCUACACUAACCAAUUGUAGGAAAUAUCAAAUCUGAUCCAAUCCAAUCGGGACUGCAAACAUACCCGUCCCCGGGACUGUGAAUACACCCGUCCCUGCCCCGUUGCGACUAUCCAGCUCAAUCCACACUAACUGGUCCGUGGAGAGCAAGUCCAACUGGCAUGAGCGACACCAACGCAAAAGCACAAGCCCAACUCCGGAGUGGCACUCGUGGGCGCUACCCAACCGAGUAUGCAGCGUAUCUCUGUCGAGCUCAAUCAGGCUCCAACUAGCCAAAGUCAAGUAAUCGACUCAAAUUGAUCUAACAAUCACUCAGGUAACGUGCCCUCGGCACAAUCUGACGCCAAAAAGGCGAUACGGGUUCACCGUCAACUCUGACGGCACCCAACAGUCCGAAACGACCUGAUCGACCCUGUAAAAAUCCACUCGGCGAACCAGCACGAGUGUAAAUACAUUCUCAACUACCUGGAGUACUCGUCUCGAAGAAACUGCGACAGUACAAUUUUCUAACGGCUUCUAGAGCUAAAUCAGGUAGUUAAAACUGGUGACAGGUCCAAAUCGCAGGUUUUCUCCUAAUUCAAUUUCCAAGUCCAACAUGUAUAAACUAAUUAAUUAUAAAGCAUGCUCAAAAUUCAGUUCUCACAUUCAAGCACAUAAUCCAUGGAUUUGAGCUAAACUAAAUUACCAAAAAUUCAGAUCUAUACAUGUCGACGAUUAUGAACUUAGGAGUCGAAACCGAUGUAACCCACCUCAAGUGCAAUUUCCUGGCAGCGAACUCAGCCUCGGCCACCCGCGAUGCUGCUGGAUUCCUCAGGGACCACCUAGACCGGUCGCCGAGCUAAAACGACCAAAACAUCACAAAUCAGCCUAAGUUCACAGCAGCUGAAAGAGACCAAGUUUCGACCAAGCUAACCUCGUCCAAAAAUUGCAAGUGAGGGCUCCGUGGAAUCCUCUCGCAGUCUAGAAUCCAAUGAACCAAGUUUCGUCGCGAUCCGACGCUCCUACGCGGAGAACGAGCCGAAAUACUAACAGUCGACGGUAGAUUCUGCGAAAACAGCACUUAAGCUCACAUCAACGAUACCCGAAGUACUCGGAGCAAUUGCGACCAAAAUGCUCACCUCAACAGCGACAACCCUCGGCGCGAUGUCCAGGACAGCGAAGACGCACCCUCGCCCGGCCUCCUCGCAAUGCCCCGGCAACAAACGCUCGCUCGAACGGCUCGCGGCGCGACGUCGGCGAAUCCCCGGCUCAACCGUGCUCCACCUCCACCAAGCCUAGAGAGAGAGAGAAAGAAGAAAGCACAAAAGCCUUCUCUCUCUUCCUCUGUUCGGUUUCCAACUGAUAUAGAGAGGAAGGGAAGGAAUCGUUACAAACGAGGUAGAAAAUUACGGAUUUAGCCCUUACCAACUCCCUUGUACCGGUACACGGAUUGCUGUACCGGUACAAGGCCAAACCCGAGAGCAACUGAGUUCUGUCGCUCGCUCUGUACCGGUACAAAUGGACCCUUGUACCGGUACAACAAGCGACUUCCCAUGAAGGUUGUACCGGUACAGCACAAACCUUGUACCGGUACAGCAGAGUAAAAAUCCUGCAAUUUCGCAGAUUUUCACACAGAAUGCUGCCCUCGCGUCGCACGGAGUCCGUCUCGCGUCUAUUUGACGCCAACGCGACUCGGGCUUGUCUCGACACUCUCCAGAGUUGUCGACAAGUCCCCACUGACAGAAACCGGGGUCUCACAGAAAGAAAGUGAAAAGUUUUUUUAGAGGUGAGGUAUUUUUGUUGUUGUUGUUGUUAUUAAUUCGUUAUCUGUAUUUUUGUAUCUGUGUAAUACUUAAAUUUUUUUUAAACUUAUCUAAAUAUUUUUUUUAUUUUUUUAAUGUUUCUUUUUAGUUUUUU